AAUAUAUAUAUAUAUAUAUAUAUAUAUAUUUAUGAAUUUGAUUAUGUGCUUGGUUUUGAAUGAUUUUAAAUUGUUGAUCAUAUCAUUAUGUUAUCCUUAUCCUCGAGUUUCAUGUUAGCAUUCACCCCGCUAAAUAUCUUCGGACAUUGUAUCCCCACACGAUGUAGGAACUAGUCAUACUUCUACCCCUCCUGCUCAGUGACUUGGAUUCGGGAUCAGCUAGCGAGUCAUAUUGAAGUGGUUUUGCUUCCAUACUUUGGAAGACCAUAUUUCAUGAUUAUGGUUUCCUUUACAUUUUGACUAUUCCUUUGGAUUUGGCUUUUGGCUAUUGUCCGGGUUAUGUCCCGACACUUUAUUUAUAUUUGGUUUUGGAUCAUAGUUUAGAAGGCUUUGCUUAGACUACUAUGCCUAUUGGGCGGAAUUGGUUAGGUUGUUGGCCGAUCGUUGGUGGUUAGUUAUGGACAUACAUUUAAAAUUUCUUAGACUAUUCUACGCUAUCUGGACGGUCACGACUAGGCCCUGGUUUGGGUGGUGACAUUUAACUCCAGGGAUACUAAAUUGUGUUUUCUCUCAUCCUUGUCAUUAUCAAAUUGCAUUAAAAAGGUAUGUUCACUUGUGUAAAUUUGUUUAAGCUUCUCUUCAAGUUUUAAUGGUAGUUCAUAUUUCAUGAUACUUUGUGGCUAUAUUGUGAUUCAUUUAAGUUUCUUUUGAUGAAAUAUGGUUGUUGGAAUGUAGAAUGUCAAAUGGGUGAGAUGUUUUUAUAUGAUUAAAGGUGCUGAAGAAUAUUUCCUUGAGAUUAUUGCAAACUCAAAUGCAUGUUUGGGGUAUCUUCACUGAUAUGGAAUCACUUCCAAUCCAUCAAGCUAUCAUUUGGAACUAGUGCAAGAAUUUUAUGCCUCUUAUGUAUUUUCCACAACCAACACAAAUACAAUCCAUUGGUAGUGGGACAAUCAUGCCUUCAUAGUGUGGUGGUUUGGGAUUCGAAGUUCAAUAUACCCCACUAGAAAUCAAUGAAAUUUAUUUUGCUUGUGAUUAGGUUUUUGGGGUUGAAUUCAAGAAGAAGGUGCUUGUUGGGAAUGAGGGUUUUCCUUGUAUAUUCUGGGUGAUUGCAAAAAGGCCCCAUCUAUAGGCCAAAUGGCAUUGGACAAAUCGAGCGGCGGAUACUUUCAAUCUGAGCUAACAUUGGCUUGGAUUUGUUAGUAAUAGCCUACUUCAUUCACAGAAUAACCAAGAUCUCACUAUAGAGCUGGCUAUCAUUGUUGGUUGCAUCAUGAAUUAUAUUAUAGUUAAUUUAAAGGAGUUGAUUAUGGAAAUGAUCAAGUUAAGGUUAAAGAAACCGGGUAAUUCAUUUCCAUUUCCUUCUCUUAUUUCAUUGCUUUGCGUUAAGUAUAAGGUUUUGUUCUUUUGGAAAAUUGACCAGAGGGUUAUUUGCACUAGUGCGAUUGACAUUAAACAUUGCCAAAAUGAUAAUAAUUCCACAGGGAUUAAGAGGAAAGCUUCGGUAUUGGUGGAUUCUUUUGUGGGAGAGUUGCCUAGUUUAGACGGUAUGGAUAUUCUUUUGGUCCCUUUACUUGCUUUGGAUGCUCCCAAAUUUCUAUUGACGCUCCUCCUUUUUCAAGCACCUCACCACCCUAUUGACCUACCCAACCGCAUCAGUCUUCCACAAUCACAUUUUCCAAAGUUGCUUUUAUGAAAUUAGCAAACAAUAAUACUAUUAUUCAGUUAGUGCUGACAUCCCGUAGUUUAUUUAGACUGCUAUUGAGCAGAGCUUAGAACCUCUAUGUGUCUAAAUGAAGGAGUAUGAGUAUAUAUUAGCCAUAGUAGAGGCUAAAGUAGAUUGUGAGGUGGUUGCAUCUUGAAACAUAUAUCGUUAGAUUAUACAUACAAUGCAUAGGAAUAGAUUGCUAGCAAGAAAAACUUAUGUAGUUAUGAAGUUAUAGGGAACACAGUCCUAGUUCAUUAUUCUCAUUGAUUUUCUCAGCAUAAAAUGAUAUUUUGCUUACUUAUUACUUUAAUUUACAAACUCUUGAUUUGUUUUCUAAAUCUCCCCUUUAAAAAAUAAUAAAUUAAUAGUCUAAAUAACCACAUCGAUUUAUGUCCUAACCAUAUUCCUCUUGGGAUCGACCCCAACCUAGUUGGGUUCUAUAUUUGUUUGAUGACUGCUUUUUACUUUAUUGUGAGGUGUAAUUUGGGUGACAUCAAUCGAUGUGUCGUAGAAUUACAACACAAAAUAUGCUUAAAUAAAAACUCUUGCAAAUCCAAAGCUGUUUUUAUCUAGAUAUGAUAUGUUUAUUGAGUUUUGCUAGAAAAUAGGGUCGGAAGUUAUUGGAAUAACAAAAGAAGAAAAAAUGCACAAGUAAUGGAAGACUGCCUGUAUAAUGAGUCAUUGGGUUAUGAUACGGCUCAUCAUCCAGUUCGUUGUGAGAAUAAAAAGGUUAGUGGCUUCAAGGAUAAAAAGGUAGGUUGACAACUCGUAGGGCCAGGCUACGAGUCGUAGGGAGAGUUCUUUUGAGAAAAUUAGGCAAGGCAUUGAGAGAUGCCUACUUGAUGCUAAAGAUGAUGAGUGUUGGUGAUGACUCGUAGGGUAUGACUAUGACUCGUGUUGACUAAUUGUUCUGAGCAUUUGAGAAAAAGAUUUGAAACCUUGAAUAUGAGCGUAAAGAUCGAGUGAGUCAACCUAUGACUCAUUUAGAUACCCAAUAUGUCAUCAUUAGCAGAAGGAAUUUUAGGCUACAAUAAAGCUAAAAGGUUAACAAUGAGUCAUAGUCAGUCUAUAUGAAUCGUUGUCAGAGGCGUCGUCACUGCCGACUUAUGUAGUGCUAUUUUGUUUAGGAAAACUUUAAUGUGUCUAUUAAUACCCUUGUUUGAUCUAUUGUUUAGGGUUACGUACUUAUGUAUUAUUUUGAGGUACUAAGAUACAUUAUUGCUCUUCGAAUCAUUGAUAAUGUUUAUUUAGGGUUUCUAAUCAAUUUCAUAUUUCAACUUUUCAUCUUAUUCUUAUAAGUACAAAAUUAUGCUUUCAUCUAUGGAAUCUUCUUGUAUUCUUAUGAUCAUGAGUAUCUAAACCCCAUAACUAGGGUUGUAGGAACCAUGAUGAGUUAACAAAGUAGGGUUAAGUGUGAUGUCCUUCUAGAUUGGUGUUCUUGGUAUUUCCUUCGGUUUGAUUAUUAUUCUUAAUCGUUACAUAUGUCAGGAACUUGCCUGUAUUCUAAAUGUGCUCGGGAGAGUGGUAGAGAUUUAGAAAAGGAAAUAACAUUAGUAAUUUAAAGCUAUCAACCUUCAUCUAAUCAACUUAAUCCUAAAUUGAGAUAGUUAAUCUGAGAUCACAAAACAAGGGUUAGUAAUGCGAUGCUCUAAGUCCAAGAGGAGAUGAAUGAAAUUCGUCUAAUCCAAGGUUGAGAGAUAGUUAGGUGAUACGUAUCUUGUUAGAUGUGUAUGCAAAAAAUUGGGAUAGUUUGCUAAGUAUGAAUAACCUGUGGAGUUAAUAAGUCAUGAGGAACAUAAUCUUAGUACUUGUCUCAAAUUGAUCAUAAUAAAAUUAACCAACAAUUGUUGCUAUUACAACUCACUUUUAUAAAAAAAAAACUUCCAUUUACAUAAUUCCCAGUUACAUCAGCAAACUCUUGAUAGACUUUCAGCCUUUUUCUCAUUGGAUUGACCCAAACUAAGUUGGGUUCUAUUUUUAUUCGACAACCACUUUAUACUUCAUUGCAAGGUGUAAUUUGGGUGAAAUCAAAUUUUGGAACCAUUGCUAGAGAAUCCAAUUACAAAUUGAUAUAUUGAGUUUGUUGAAGAUAUUGGUUUCAUUUGUUGAUUUCUGCUCUCCUACUAUUUAUAGGGAACACGCUGGUAUAUGCCCAAUAUUCAGAGUCAAGGAAAUCCCCUAAUUCCAUUUGAUCUUAAGAUAACUCUAAGGUAAAUUUCAAAGUGAAAAGAGAAAAAAUUUAUGAUCAAGAAGCUUGGCAUAUAGGGGUUCAGGAUGACCCAACAAUACUGAAUCAUCCACUUUAGUAUGAUGUUUAGGAAAAUAUGGAUCAAGUUAUUGCUUAAUUAAUGUCUUAGGAAAUUUCUAGAAAAGUAAAUGCCCAAUGAGCAGCUAAAUAAUAAAGGGCUAGAUAGUAAGAGAAAGAUCGACUAGCUACAUUUGAAAGGAACAAGAUGAGAAAAAGUCAGAGAACAAUAGCCCAUGCAACACUAUCUUUAAGUUUAUAAUGAUCUAGAAGAUUUAGGGUAUGUUAAACCAGUUGAAACAGUUCAAUCAUUUCUCGAGAAUUGACCUAGGGGACUAAAUUUGAUAUUAUGAAUGAAAUGAUCCAGUUAUUGAACUUGAUGACGGUGUUUUUUGCUUUACCUACUGAUAAUGCAAGCAUUCACAUUAUGAACUUUAUGGGGAUCUGUACUUCAUACAACGGGGUGAGUCAGGAGGCAAUACGACUGAGAUUGUUGCCAUUCUCCCUGAUAGGAGAAGCUACAUUAUAGUUUGAAGAGCUUCUCUAUGGAUCUAUAACUACUUGGAACAAGUUGAAGACUCAAUUUUUGGACUGCUUUCCACCCUUCAAAAUAUUGUAGUUAAAAGAUGAGAUAUAUAACUUCCACCAUUUGCAUUUAGAGUAAUUAUAUGAGACAUGGUUGAAGUUCAAUAAGAAGCUUCAUAGCUUGCCAAAUUACAAAAUUAUCGAAAGAAACUUUUUUGAGAUCUUCUAUAAAGUGUUGAAUGCCAGUAUAACAAAAAUAGCUGACACGCUCAUUGGUGGAGCAUUCACGAGUAAAAAAGUGGUAGAAGGUUCUCGAUAUCUUUGAUCAUAUUACUAAAACCAAUUGAGGGUGGCAUACUUGGAAGGCAGAUAGGUUAGUUGGUACUUAUGCAAUUAGUUCCUCUAGUGAGUAGAGAGCAUUAGACGAGAUAGUAGCUCAAGAGGUAGCAUAAUUGAGGACAGAGAUUAGCCUAUUUAUGAAAUAAUUGUUAGAUAUUAGAUCAAAAAAGGUAAAUGUAGUGGGUUCAUGAGUCAAAGCUUAUAGACAUGAAGAGCAAACUCUUAUUAAGAAGCCAAGUAUCUUGAUAGACAAAUAAUGGGUUUUCAAGCCAAGUGCCAAAGGUCUAACCAAGAAAAUUGGAACUCUAGGUAAGGAAAUCAAGGUUGGAACUAUUAUAGAGACAGGUAUAUGGAUAAGAGUAGUGAGCGUGAUGGUGACUGGAUAAGGAAAGAUGACAAUAAGGAUAAGGGUAGCCUUUAUAUUCUAGAAGAGAACCAAGAUGCUGAGUCUAGGAGUUUGAGAAUGGAAACAUUGCUUGCAAAGCUUGUGAAGAGUUUAGAGAGCCAAAAAAGUUGCCAUAAGGAAAUUAAGGCAAAAAUUUUGGGGUUUAUCCAAAGGUUGAAUUGUAUGCAACCGCUAUUAAGUAACUUGAGAGAUAAUUUAGGUAGACGUCUAUCACCUUAAACUAGUAUCAACCAAGCACUCUUCCUCGCAGCACUAUUUAAAAUUCAAAAAUGACAAUCAUUGUCUAGCUAUCCAUGCCUGUGAUUGAUGACAUGAGGAAUGACCCUAUAGACAUUAAUGAUGCAGACAAAGAUGAAUAGAAAAAUUAAUGAUGAAUGAUGAGGCAUCUUAGAAGCCUAUAGUUGUAGAAAAAAAAGUUGACACUAUCAAAAAAGGGUAAGGAGUUCAUACCAGCAUUGAAGGCCAUUCCCCAACCUUCUUCACUUUUUUUCCCAAAGGUUGAAGAAGAAACCCAAAGAAGGAAAUUAUUAGAAGUUUACUUCAAUGCUAGAAGAGUUAUCUAUAAACAUCCCUCUUAUGAAAUCUCUAGAUCAAAAGUUGGGUUAUAUAAAGUUUAAGAUGGAUUUGGUGACCAAGAAGAGGAGGAUGAGUUUUGAGCAUGCUGGUAAUUUACACCACUUUAGCGCCAUUGCCUCUUGAUCUUUAGUUUUAAAAAAAAUCCUAAAGUAUUCACCAUCCCUUGUACUAUUGGGUCUUAUAAAUUUGCACAAGAUGUAUGUGAUCUACAAGCUAGCAUUAACUUGAUGUUGCUAGUCAUCUAUAAGUAGUUGGGAUUGGGGUUAUCUAAGCUGACCUCUAUGAGACUUUUGAUAGUGGAUCGCACUGUGAAGAAGUCAGUUGGUAUCUAGUGUGAUGUAUUGGUAAAUAUAUCCUCCUUCAUAUUUCCAACUAAUUUUGUAAUUCUUGAUUGUGAGUUUGACGUCGAAGUCCCUAUCCUAUUACGGAGGCCUUUACUAGGUAUGAGUGGGGCAUUGAUUAGCAUGGGUAUAGGAUAAAUGAAGUUCAAACUUAAUGAUGAAUAGGUCACAUUCAGUGUGUUUCAAUUAAUAAAGUAGCCAAAGGAUAUGAGUGUGACUUCUGUGAUUGAUAAUUGUAGAAGAAGAUAUAUUGUUCAUACCCAUUAAGACAAGGCUUGGUUCCGAGGCAUUCAUAGCUAUAAUGAUAAAUUUUGAUAGUGAAGGUAUUGAUGGAUAUGAUUAGGUGGUGAAUUCACUUGUGGGUGGAGGUUAAUACUCUUAUGUGCUAAAGAAGUUGGAAUUUGAUAUUACAAAUAGAGUGACCCUUCUGUCCAAACCAUCUAUUGAGGAGCCACCAGUUUUUGAAUUGAAAGCCCUUCCUUCUCAUUUGUGUUAUAUGUUCUUAGGGUCCAACAACACGUUGCCGGCUAUUAUUGCAGUAAAAUUAUUAGAGUGGCAGGUUGAGGCUUUAGUAUCGGUUUUGUAGAGGAUUAAGAGGGCUAUUGGCUAGACUAUUAUUGACAUAAUCAGAAUUCCAUCCAGAAUUUGCACUCACAAAAUUCAGCUUGAGCCAAAAUUAUACGUAGAAUUUAUCAUCAAUGUAUAUUAAAUCCACCUCUGUAAGAUGUUGGGAAGAAAGAAAUCAUCAAGUGGUUUUAUGCAGGUGUGGUUUAUCCAAGUGCUAACAGCAAAUGGGUGAGCCUGAUUCAGUAUGAUCCAAUGAAGGGUGGGAUCACUAUGGUUCCCAAUGAGAAGAAUGAUCUCAUUCUUAUGAGACUAGUCACUAGAUGGUGAGUAGGCAUGGAUUAUAAGAAGCUGAAUGUAUAGACCUAGAAGGAACACUUUCUAAUUUCAUUCAUGGAUCAGAUAUUAGACCGUAUUGUGGGUAGAGGAUAGUAUUUUUUUUCUUGAUGAUUAUUCAGGGUACAAUUAGAUUUCUUUUGCUCUUAAGGACCAAGAGAAAACCACUUUCACUUGUCCAUAUAGAAUUUUUUUAUUCAAAAAGAUGCCAUUUGGUCUUUGUAAUGCUCCCUCAACUCUUCAACGUUGUAUGAUUUUUAUUUUUCUGAUAUGGUAGAGGACGUUAUUGAGGUUUUCAUACAUGAUUUCUCAGUUGUGGGUGAUUCAUUUGAUGAUUGAUUGACUCAUUUGUCCAAUGCCUUAGAAGGAUAUAAAGAGUGAAAUUUAGUCCUAAUUUAGGAGAAGUGUCACUUUAUGGUCAAGGAAAGGAUACUGCUUGGGUACAAAAUUUUGAAGAAGGGAAUAGAGGUUGACAAGGCUAAGAUUGAGGUGAUUGAAAAAUUGUCUCCUUCAAUUUUUGUGAAGGGCAUUUGGAAAUUCUUAGGUCAUGUAGGUUUCUAUAGGUGAUUCAUCAAGGACUUAUAGAAAAUUACAAAUUCAUUAUGGAAAUUGUUAGAGAAGGUGGUGAAAUUUGUGUUUGAUAUGUUUUUCUUAAAGCUUUUCAGUGCUGAAAGAGAGGUUGACUUCAACUCCUUGUUGUGUCCCCUGAAUGGACUCAACUAUUUGAAGUGAUAUGUGAUGCUAGUGGCAUGUCCCUAGGAUAACUUUUAUGAUAAAGGCGAGAAAAGAUACUUCAUCCGAUCUACUAUGCCGCCAAAUCAUUAAAUCCCACACAACAUAACUACACAGUGACUGAAUAAUAAUUACUUGAAGUAGUGUUCACUUUUGAAAUAUUUUGGUCCUACUUGAUUGGAACUAAAGUCAUUGUGCACACUAAUCAUGGUGCUCUUAGGUACCUUAUGAAGAAGAAAUAUGCAAAACCGAGGUUGAUUUGAUGGGUACUUCUACUAUAGAAAUUUGAUUUCGAGGUUAAGAAUCAGAAGGGCACUGAAAAUCAAGUAGUAGACCAUUUGUCAUGCCUAGACAAGGAAGAGAUGAUAAAAUUAAGGGAUGAGAUUGAAAUUAAUGAUGCUUUUCUAGAUGAGCAAGUCUUAGCAGCAUCACUAGACAUAAUCCCUUAGUUUGUAGACUUUGACAAUUAUUUGGCAACUGAUCUCAUUCAAGAAGAUAAGUUGUUUUAGCAGUGCAAGCGAUUUAUGCAUGAGGUGAGAAAGUUCUUUUGGGAUAAGCCAUAAUUUUUUUGGAUGUGUACUAAUAGUGUAAUUCAGAGGUGUAUUCUUAAGAUUGAGAUGAUAAGUAUUUUAGAGAAAUGUCAUUCGUUCCUAGUUGGGGGUCGUUGGGGGUCAUCAUAGAGGUACUCACACUACCCACAAAAUCUUGCAAUGUUGUUACUAUUUUCCUACAAUCUAUAAGAGUACACAUGAUUAUGCCAAGUCCUAUGACCAAUUCCAAAGGCAGGGCAAUAUUUUAAGAAAGCAUGAGCUUUAUAUGAUACCUAUCCAUUGAGCUUGAAUUGCAUGAUGUUUGGGGUAUUUAUUUAAAGGGACUAUUUGUGAGUUCACAUGGAAUGAAAAAUAUCUUUGUGUUUGUCGAAUACACUUCAAAGUGGCUGGAAGUAGUUGUGCUUCCAAACAAUGAAGGUAAGAGUGUCACAGUAUUCUUAAAGAAGAAUAUUUUCUCUAGAUUUGGUACCCCCGAGCAAUCAUAAUGAUGGUGGAUCUCACUUCUGCAUUUAUCUCUUCAAAGACUUACUUGAGAAAUAUGAUGUGAAGCAUAAGGUUCCAACACCUUAAAAUCUACAAUAAGUGGGCAAGUUGAGGUCUCCAAUUGGGAGAUAAGGUCUAUUUUGGCAAAGACUGUGAAUGCAAAUAGGAAUGACUGGUCUAGAAAGCUAUGUGAUGCAUUAUGGUACUACCAGAUGGUAUAUAAGACUCCUAUUGGUGCAUAUCCAUAUCAAUUUGUGUAUGGCAAAGCAUGUCACUUUUCGGUUGAACUUGAGUAUAAGGCACUAUAGGCACUGAAAAAGUUAAAUUUUGAGUGGAGUGAGCACACUUAUUGUAACGAUUCGAGACUACCCCCUAAUCGUUACACGGUUUUCACGAUCCUGAAGGACCACAUUCUAACCUUCUACUGAUGUCUAUACCUGAGCUCUGCAUAAUAUAAUAUAAUAAAUAUGGAAAACUGGCAGAAAACUUGCCAUAAGUUUCAAAAUAUCCGAAAUACUCAAAACUGAAAACUGAAUACUAAUACAUCUGUCUGAAAAGCCUCUGAACUGUCUAAGUUGUAGAGUUGAUGGGACAUGUCCCCAAAUAACCCCGUCUACUGAAAAUAAAUAAAAUCUUAUGCGAUAGUAAAAUAAGUAUCAUCUUCGAAUAAAGAGGACUCACUGUUAUGUCUACUGCUGCUGACUGGGACUGAGCUGCUAAGGGUACUCUGGAUCUCGUGCCUCUGAACCUAUGGUGUAAAGUAAAACACCAUAGUGCAAAUGAGUUAGUAUAUGGGAACAUAUUGAGUAUAUAAGAUGAGGUAAGGCUAAAUGCAAGGGCUUAUGCAUGAACAAUUACUUAACUGAAUAAUCAUGAGAGUACUGAAUGAGAACAUAUGCAUAGAUGCACAAACCAUAACUGAAAUCAUCGUGACUCUGAAUAUUGAAACAUAGAUACUGCUUUACUGAUGUCUGAACUCAAUACUAAUACUGAGAUACUGAAUAACUAAAACUUCUGAUACUGAUAACUAAGUAUUGAAGUUGAGAUCAGUCUUGUCUGGUGAGUGAUCUCUAGAACUGAUGAUACUAAAGAUAAUUAACUGAAUCUACUCAUAUUAAUAACUGAGAUCUGAGCUUGCUACAAUUAAAUGAUGAUCCCUGAAUCUACUACCAAUGAUAAGAAAUGAUUAUGUUUGAGAUCAGACCUAUCUAAUAGAAGAUCUUUGAAUUUGAUAAUGAGAAUACUCAACUGAAUCUGAGACUGAGAUCAGGCCUAUCUAACGGGUGAUCUCUGGAUCUGAUAAUACUGAUACUAAUUAUCUUUAUGAGAGACCAGGCCUAUCUAGCGAGUGGUCCAUGAAUCUAUGGAACUAUCUGAGUUCCUUACGGAGAUGGGUGACUAUAUCUGAUAGUCUUAAUUUCUGAGUUCUACUCUGAAGACUGAUACUGAAACUACAACUGUGGGAGUUCUCACUUAACUGACCUGCCCCAAAUCUGAACUGGUGGGGUCCAACCUAUAACUCUAGCUGGAAGGGUGUCAAUACCAUGCCAUGGGUAAAGAGCUCUACUCUGGUCAAGCCUCUCUAACGGGUGACCCUAAACAAGAAGUCAAGCCUUAAUCCAAUAGGUGACUCGCAGUUCUAGAGUUCAAGGAUUUCUACUAAUGACUCUGCCUCUCUAAUGAGACGGCUGUAAUCCCUGCACUCGCUCGGUUCUAGCUCCUACUCUGAACUAAAGGACUCUAAACUGAUUCUUAACUGAACUUAAACUGAGUUGAACUGUUACUGAUCAAAUUUCUCAAAUGAUCUGACUGAGUUAAGCUGAGUUAACUUAGUUCCAUUAUCUGAUGGAAUACUACUGAAUCUCUGAAUAGAUUACUUGAAUGCUACUGAGGUCUGAACUGAACACUUGAAUACUACUAGAUCUGAGCUGAGUACUGAACUGAGGCUAGAAUACUAACGAUACUGAGAUUACUGAGAUUUCUUAAAUUAUUGAGAUUACUUAAGUUCUGUAAUUGUUUGAGAGUUCUGAGUUCUAUAACUCACUGAGUUUUGAGAAUCGUGGCUUGACUAAGAUUAUCGUGAAAACUAACACUGGCUCUAGACUGCAGCUAAUUUGUCGGGUACAAAUACCCCCAGGACUCGGUGACAUAAAAGUAAAACAUAACCAUUCUUGAAUAAUCAUAACCAUGGGCAUUAAUUAACUAUCACAAUCACGAAAGCAUCUCUUCAAGCAUUUAGAAAACCACAAAUAAGUGAUAAUAUAGGGACACAUGCUAUUAGCUCAUAGUCCAUUCAACAAGAUCUUGCAUCAAACAUCUAGAAUGCAUUAAAGAAAACAUAAUUGGGGAAUUUUGUGCUAUCAUGUCACAAUUCAUUCACUAAGGAUUUUCAACAAACACUUGGCAUACAUGAGCUUGCACACAAUUGGGGAUUUCUGGUCAACCUGCUAUAAUGGCUCUAAUUCCUUCACAUAAGCAUUUUAUCAAACAUAUGGGGAGAAUGUUUUGAUUAUUCAACAAUUUCUAUACUCAAUUGACAUAAACACAUCACUUAACAAACAACUUGAAGAGGAUUUAACAGGAAUAUCACAUACUAGGGCCAAAGCUUGAAAUCUUGUAAACAAAUCAUGAAUUAAAACUCAAUACUAACAUGAACUUCAAUUUCAAUUCACAUGAAUCAUGAAAAAUCAUAAACAUAAGAUCUUUGAAUUUAGAAAAAUGAUUCUUGAACUUCUUGGGUAGAAGAGACCCAAGAAUCAACAUCUGCAUACCUUAGGAAACGCUUUCUUGAAGGCUCUUGGAGAGAUUCUUGAUUUUUUUAGGAAGGGUUUGAAUCUUUUUCUUAGGUUUUUAAUAUUGAAAUAAACCCUAAUUUUGAUGUUAUGGAUGAAUGAAGAGUUAUGUGCUUUGAUUUGACAUGAUUGGAUGUUAAAUAGGGUGGAAAAAAACCCAAAAAUCCCUUUAAAACGGCAUUUCAACUCUAUUUCGGACAAAACUGAAGGUCUGAGUGACGGACCAUCACUCUGGUGACUGACCGUCACUCCAACCAUCAUUUUUGGGCCAUAAAAUGGCCUUACUACUUCAGUUGUGACGGCCAAAGUGACGAUCCAUCGCUGACUUGAUGGUCCGCCAGCUUGCCCGUCGCUCUUGGGCAGCUAUGACAACUCUUAGUAAAACAGCCAUAACUUUUUACUCCGAUGCCAGAUUUUGGCAAAAUUGGUAUAGUUGAAAAGAUAAUUCAAUUAUAUUUCUCUUGGUUUGUCAUGAGAUCAAAAAUUAUUUUUAUAAUGGGAGAUAUGCUCAUUUGAAGUUGACUAUGGCAAUGUCCUUCUCAAGAAUUCAAUCGGUAAGGGAUGUUUUGAUUCGUCUAAUAGCGAGGACUUAUUUAUGGCAUUAAUAUAUAUCAAACAUGAUCAUAAAUCUACCAAAUUUCUAAGAUUUAUUCCUCAUAAUCUUGAAGCAUGGUUCUACUAUCAGUUGGGAUUCUUGGGGUAUUACACUUAUGAUUUGAAAAGAUGAAUGAGAUAGAUGAGUUUUGGCUCCAUACUUAUGAGAGUUCAGACUUAUACAAGGAAAAGAUGAAAUUGUAACAUGAUAGAAGAAUUAAAAAGAGGGAAUUCCAACCUAGUAAUUUGAUUUUGAUGUAAAAUUCAAGACUUCGCUUGUUUCCUGGAAAGUUGAAGUCUAGAUGGUUCGGUCCAUUCACCGUGGUGAGAGUAUUUAUUUCCACAUAGUGAAAUUGAGAUAUAACAAGAUGGUGAUGUCCCAUUCAAGGUGAACAAACAUUAUGUUAAGAAUUAUAUGGGAAACACAAAAGAUUUUAAGUUAUGUGGGGAUAUAAGCCUUGAUGAUGUUUGAGUAGUAAAAGGAGCUGAGUCAUGCUACGACGUUAAAUCAUAUGCUUCAUGGGAGGCAAUUCAUGGGCCAGUUGAUGAAGUCUGAGUACUCAACUUGGCCAUAUUGUGUUGUGACAUUAAAUUAAGUGCUUCUUGGGAGGAAAUUCAUGUUUUGUACUUAAUUAAGUUGAAGGGUAACAUGUGUGUUCAGAUGUGCAGAGCUACACUAUGUAAGAAAAAAACAUAGGAAGUUUCUGGUUUCAAGAUCAAACGAGUGACACUAUGACUCGUAAUUCCACUCAGUGACAAGUGACCAGACCCGUUGGUAGGAGGAAAAGAUAAUCAGUUCAUGGAAAGUCAUUGGAGUCCCUACAAAUCUCAGAACGAUUCAUAGUCACUGACAACAACUCGUCACCUUGAGUCGUAAAGACUAGGGACCCAGGUAAGUAUAUUAGCACUAGAGGGAGGUGUUAAUAACAAGUAGUAAAUGGCCACAAUUCUUUUUUUGAACGUAUGUAACUCCCUCUAUCUCCCACAACAGGCUCUCCCACUUAAAAUACACUUAUAUCCUUAUUAAAUCAGCCCAUCUAGAAUCAAAACUAUUUCUAAAUCUCCCAUUAUCUAAAGAACAUAGUUAAGUAAAAGUGAAGCAUCCAAGCAUCAUUUGUUGAUUUGAAGUAAGUACUCAAAAAAUUCCUUCUAAUUUCUCGUUGUGCUUGAUAUUUUUGUGUAUUUUUUCUUUGGAUAAUUUGCUUGAACUUGACUAGGUUUUUGGGUUAAUCAUAUAAUAUAUAAAGCAAAGUUGAUUUUCAUGCAUAAUAGGAGUAGUUAUAAGACGGAGAUGAUUGAAAGUAUGGGUAGAUAACGCUCAUCAUACACGUCAAUUUAGUGCAAGGCGGUCGUCGUUAAUAUAUUUACCCAACUUUGGAGUCGGGUUCAAAUCCAUAGGGAACAAUGUGAGUGGCGAUUAAACUCAUUUGAAACUAAAGCUACAAGUUAAAUUCAAAUAACUGGUACGAAAAGACAAAAUGAGGAUUUUUAAUGAUUGAACAGAAGUUAUUAACACUUCAAUUUUCCUUAGAACUCAAAUCUUAAACUACAAUACUUCAAAUCAAUGAUAUAGAGAAACUAGAGUUGUGAUCACUAUGAUUAGUAAUCCUCCAUUGAAUAACAGUUGUAGUAUUGGAUUCUCGUGACUUAUGGGAAACACCAAAUUAUCAGUUUUGACAGUCCAUCUAAGUGUUUCUCAACCAACCUAGAUGUUGAACUCCCUAAUUCUCUUGAACUUAGGAAAUCAUUCUAUUCAUACUGAUUUUAUCUCGAGUUGAUCAAUCUUGUUACAGCAUUAAUCAUUAGAUGAGAAUUUAACCUUCCCAAAUCCUCGUUGAUAAUUCACUUCUUACUAGGGUUGAUUUCUUAUCUCAAGCAAAUCAACAGUAAGCAAGGCCUAUUAUUUGCAACCUAUAGAAACUAAUUAAUACAAAAGAAUUAUGAAGAUGUUCCUACAAUCACUCGAACCCUAACCAAUUAUUAAAUCCAUAGAGGAAUAAUCAUAGAUCCCACAACUCUAGUUGUGGGUUUUAGUUCCACAUGAGAAAGAAAGAGAUAGCAAUAAUUAUAUUCAUCAUUCAAAGUAAUUAAACUUACAAAAGAUGAAGUAUGAAGUUGAUUCUCUUCCAAGUUCAAGAGAAAAUUCCCACAACCAAAUCAAAGAGUUGAAAAUUAAAUUCUAAGUUCAGAGCCCCCAAAGAGAGGUGAACUCCUUUGGAAUAAGUUUUAUGCCCCAGAUAUGUUUAGCCUCCCCAAUGAAACCCUAGAAGCUUCUAUUUAUAUCCAUAACUUAAGAAAAAUCUGAAAUUAAAAAUUUAGAAUUUUUCUUUUAGGUGACAACAUGUCUGACGGCUUAUCAGAGUUCUGAUAGCUUUUCAGAACAUGUCGUCAGGCAUGCUUCAAAUUUUUGCCUUCUGCUUAUGUGUGACGACAUUCUUGACGGCUUAUCAGACACCUGACGACUUAUCAUAGACAUCAUCACAUCUUCACUUCAUUUUCUCAAGCACUGCCCAAGCCUGACGACGAGCCUAAUGGCUUAUCACAACUCUGACGGCCUAUCACAGAUUGUCGUCACUUCUUCCAGUUGAAUCUCAUUCUCUGUCUAAGGCUAAAGCUGAGCCUGAUAACUUAUCAGGGAGUUGACGAUUUAUGAAACAAGUCAUCAAGUACACUUCUAUUCUUAUUUUGCUCAAAACUUAACUCUUUUACUUCCAUUAUUGCCGGUUCUCUUGCAUCUUAACUUCCACUGCAAAAUCAAAGAUAAAACAAUUAAAAAUGAUAAAAGUUGCUUAAGACUUUACAAUUAUUCUCAGUUAAAAGCCUCAAAUGUGUUAGCAUCUGCUCACACAUCAACACCCUCAACUUAAAACAAUUGUUUGUCUUCAAGCAACUAAAAUACAACCAAGAGGAUACAAAGUACAUUUGGCAGUCAAUAAUCAAUAUUAUCUCAAAACCAUCUUUACCUUCUCCAAGGUCAAUUAAUUCUAAAUCAACUGUGUAUGCUACUGAAGAACAACAAUGGGACACACAAGAAUCAAGAUAUGGCAUCAAUUCAGCAACAACAACCAUGUAUGUAUCAAGCUUACACUAUCCAAACAAGUUAGCAACUAACAACGUAACCAGUGUGCCCUCACUACAAAAAACUCCCUCCUCACUCAUGUCUAAACUCAAGCAUGUCAAUGCGGGGACGGUCAAGAGACACUCACUCACAGAAAGAACUUCCAGCCAAUAUAUGCCAAAUACCAUAAGCUUGCCCUUAUUUUCAUUACCAAGGUUUUCAUACAUGUAAGCUAGGAUGAGUAUAGGUCUUUUUCUUCGACUUGUAACGUAGGAUAAGGGCUGGUAUGAUACUCAAUGAUAUUUAAAAUGACUAACCCUCCUUGGCACUACACUAUUUUCUAGGGUCUCACUUAUUAACCUUUUUCUAUUUUUCUCUUUUAUUGAUCACACAUAUUCAGGAUGGGUGCGGUUUUUUUGACAAUCAUUUCUUUUUUUUCACAACUUUUCUUUUCUUAUUUUUUUUCCAUCAUACCCAGCUUUUUAUUCUUUUCUUUUAUUCUAAUUUUCUUUAUACUCAUUUUACAUCACGCACCCCUAUGGUAGCCACCCUUAACUUAGGUUAUUUACCUAAGUCAAAGUGCAUAAUGUCCAAGGAGGACCAGGGCUAAAACAGGUUCAUUGUGAUACAAAUAGGAAGGUGAUAAGUAUAAUAAAAAAAAUAGCCAUUCAGGCUCAAAAUCAGGAUCAAAGGAUAUUAUUUACACACAGAAGGCCAUUUAGGCUAAAAGUGGACUAAUAUCAACAACAACCUAUGAUCCUUUCCUAGCCGCUACCCUACAAUCAAGGCAAGACCAACCGGGUAAGUUCUGGAUUUAACAAACAAUGGGAACUAGGUAGUAUCUCACACACACAUGGCACAAAGGUACAUCACAAGCUACUACCCAUUCGGUUCAUGCAAUUAUUUAGUAAUGGUUAUCAUGUCACUAGUACUAAAGCCAUAACAAGAUGCACAGUGGUCACACAUAAAUGCAUAUCACACAGUUAUAAAAUUGACCAAUGGAGAGGUGUUCAAAAUCAACAAAAACAUGUUAACUGCCUAAGGUACUUGUAUUUCUCCUAGUAAACUACAAUAUUUUACAACAAAUCACAAUACACCUAAACAUUCCGGCUCUACUAAAAACAAGACUCCGGAGGGAAAAGGCACAGCAACAAAAACCCCAAGAGAAUAUCAACACCCAUAAGUAGCCCCACCCUCAACUUAAAAUCAUGCAAUGUCCCCAAUGCGUCAAACCAAAACAAGAGAGUUAGAAACAUGUCUGUGGCACCAUGGGUGCGAAGAUCUGAUGUCAAUCACAUAAUAUGAAUACAAACAACAAAAUACCUUAGGUUGCCUCCCAAGAAACGCCUAAUUUAGUGUCGCGGCAUGACCCAACUCAGUUUUUUUGCUACAAAAAUUAAAAAAUCGAGUAAUGGAUUGAGCAUGGUAAACCACCUGGCCUUAAAGUGAGGUGUGUUUUUAUGUUGCUUGUCUAAUUUAAAAUCAAGAAUAUAGGAUUCUUGUUCCUCAUCUUCACACUUUUCUACUAUUUUAAAUGAUUCCACAGACAAGAUAUCAUCUAAACAUAAUGUAUAAAAGUGCUUUGAAUGAGGCCCAAUCAAUCCUACUUCAAAAUUUACACUAUCUACUACACACUCACUUUUAUUUACCUUCUCGACAUCUUCACUUCGAAUUAGGCUAGAGUCUUUAUUAGAGAUUUUCUUUGUUUCUUCUUUUGCCUCUAGCACCAUGUCCUCAAUCUUGGCAUCAUCUCUCAUAGUUGGUUAGGUUGGUUGGGAAAUCACUGAGGGUUGCUCAACAUCAAACUCAACAUCAAUAUAGGGUUUUUGCUCCUCAUCUUUACACUCUUCCAUUAUUUUAAAUGAUUCCACAGUAAAUAUAAUAUAGAAGAAUGCUUUGAAUGAUUGACCUCUAUAUCCAUAUCCUCAUGAAUGAUUGGCUUCAUGUCUUGACACAUAUCAUAUAUGAUAUCAUACGUUUCUUUCUGGAGAUACAACAUUCGUUGAAACAUAGCUUCAAUGCCACUCUUCCCGGUGCUUUGUUCUUUAUUUUCUUGACCAUAAGACCUAUCAAACUCAUAAAAAGAACUAGAAUUUAGGUUAGCGCAAUAGGGGGAGGGGGCAUUUGGGCAAUCACUCUAAUUUCCAUCUUCAUCACCACAUAAAGAACAAUCACACUCCCUGUAGGAUGGUGAUGGUGCACACAUCUCUCUCUGGGGAGCAUAUCUACAAUCUAGACAAAAGUAAGGUCCAUCACAAUAUGGACAUGGAUCAUCAAGAUAAGAUUUCCAACCACCAUGCUCAUGUUCAUUCCAUGAUGCCAUAGUAAUAAGUAAACUAAAAUAAAAAUCUACCUAAUACAACAAAUAAAAGAAAACUAAAAACAAAUGUUUACAAGUUUGAAUUCAAGUAAGUAGGCUAAAAUUCAAAACCAACUCAAUACGCCAAAUUGUUACCCGACAACGGCGCCAUUUUUGAUAACGCUCAACUUAUAUAUCAAUUUAGUGCAAGGCAGUCGUCGUCAAUAUAUUUACCAAACUUUAGAGUCGGGGUCGAAUUCACAGGGAAUAAUAUGAGUGGCUAUUAAACUCAUUUGAAACUAAAGCUACAAGUUAAAUUCAAACAACCGGCACAAAAAGACAAAAUGGGAGGUUUUUAAUAAUUGAACAAAAGUUAUUAACACUUCAAUUCACCUUAGAACUCAAAUCUGAAACUGCAAUAUUUCAAAUCAAUGAUAUAGAGAAACUAGAGUUGUGAUCACUAUGAUUAGUAAUCCUCUAUUGAAUAACAGUUGUAGUAUUGGAUUCUCGUGACUUAUGGGAAACACCAAAUUAUCAGUUUUGACAGUCCAUCUAAGUGUUUCUCAACCUACCUAGAUGUUGAACUCCCUAAUUCUCUUGAACUUAGGAGAGCAUUCUAUUCAUACUUAUUUUAUCUUGAGUUGAUCAAUCUUGUUACAGCAUUAAUCGUUAGAUGAGAACUUAACCUUCCCAAAUCCUCGUUGAUAAUGCACUUCUUACUAGGGUUGAUUUCUUAUCUCAAGCAAAUCAACAGUAAGUGCAACCAAUAGAAAAUAAUUAAUAUAAAAGAAUUAUCAAGAUGUUCCCACAAUCACUCAAACCCUAACCAAAUAUUAAAUCCAUGGAGGAAUAACCAUAGAUCCCAUAACCCUAGUUGUGGGUUUUAGUUCCACAUGAGAAAGAAAGAGAUAACAACAAUUAUAUUCAUCAUUCAAAGUAAUUAAACUUACAAAAGAUGAAGUAUGAAGUUGAUUUUCUUCCAAGUUUAAGAGAAAAUUCCCAUAAUCAAAGCAAAGAGUUGAAAAUUAAAUUCUAAGUUCAGAGCCCCCAAAGAGAGGUGAACUCCCUUGGAAUAAGUUUUCUACCCCCCGAUAGGUUCAUUCUCCCCAAUGAAACCCUAGAAGCUGUUAUUUAUAUCUGUAACUUAAGAAAAAUCCAAAAUUAAAAGUUUAGAAUUUUUGUUUUAGGUGAUGACAUGUCUGAUGGCUUAUUAGAGUUCUGAUAGCUUAUCAGAACAUGUUGUCAGGAAUGCUUUAAAUUUUUGCCUUCUGCUUAUGUGUGACGACAUUCUUGAUAGCUUAUUAGACACCUGACGACUUAUCACAGAUGUCGUGACAUCUUCACUUUAAUUUCUCAAGCACUUCCCAAGCCUGACGACGAGCCUGAUGGCUUAUCACAACUUUGACGGCCUAUCACAGGUUGUCGUCACUUCUUCCAGCUGAAUCUUAUUCUCUGUCUAAGGCUGACACUGAGUCUGAUAACUUAUCAGGGAGUUGACAACUUAUUAGAAAAGUCAUCAACUAUACUUCCAUUCUUAUUUUGCUUAAAAUUCAACUUUUUUACUUCCAUUAUUGCUGGUUCUAUUGCAUCUUAACUUCCACUACAAAAUCAAAGAUAAAACAAUCAAAAACAACAAAAGUUGCUUAAGACUUUGCAAUUAUUCUCAAUUAAAAGCCUCAAAUGUGUUAGCAUCUACUCACACAUCAGUUAUAUGUUAACUGCCUAAGGGGAAGCCUGAGUACCCUCAGGAAAUAGUAUGAUUAAGCAAAGACAAUUUGAUAACCCAUUUUGAUAGUUACUACGAGAUAUUCUAUGAAUUUUUGACAUACGUGAUAAGUCAUCUUAUGACUCGUAGUGACUAGCAACAUGGGUGGUCAUCAAUAUUCAUUUACUAGUGUCUCUAUGAGUGACCCUACGAGUCUUCAUCAUACCUUACAACUCAUCUCUUGACUCAUAGUGAUUGAGAAUAAGUUAAAAAUUUAAUAUUUAUUUACUGGUCACCUACAAGUUACCUAACAAAUCAUCAUGUCACUUAAUAAAUCAAAGGGUGAACCCAUAGUGAGUACACCUGCUAGCAGGGACUUCUAUGAUGGUUUACCCUACAAGUUUUCUAGUGACCUAACGACUCAUAGGGUCACCAGUAAAAGUUUCCCAGCGCACCCUCACACCCUACGACUAUAACAGCGACUCAUAGACGUAUGACUACAAGUCGUACCCUAAUUCAUAGGGAUGUAAUGCACUUUUAAUUUUUAGUUUUUGUUUUUUUUUCCUUACUCUUUCUAGUGUAAAUAAUUAUAUUUCCAUCAUAGGCAUGAUGGAACCAAAGAAUGAUACCACUAAGGGGGCCAGGAAAACUCCCAUGAAAUAGGCUCAGGCCACUUAUCAACAGAGAGGCAAUCCAUCUAACGAAGAACAUGAGUCUAGUGGAUCCAUUGAGGAAUACCCCAUAUUAGGAUUGAUUGAUUAAUGAAGUAGCUUACCUCAAUACUGGAAGUCUAAGACCCAAAUAAAUAUUGUAAGAUAAUCACCACAUAUUUUUCUCCCCAGUUUAAAGAGGGAAAAAAGUUUAGGUCUUUCUUGGAUAAUAAAGAAAAGAGGGAGAAAAGUGCCUCAAAAAGUAGAGAUAAUGGUGUAUUUGGCCACAAAUCUGGAUAUCAAGAAUUAGAAUCUAGUUCCAAAUAAGCUGAGGGUAACGAGCAAAAAGCUAUAAGUGAUAGUGCCCUAGUUGAGAUCCCGCUUUCUUCUCAAGACCAGCCUGGGUUACAAACUGAGGCUGCCCCUAUGCUAGUUGUUAAUUGAUGGGGGUACCCAGGUAUGCAAGAGUUAUAUGAGCAAUACUAUACCAUUAUCCCAAAAUAGGAAAACAAAAGACAAUAUUCUAUCUGGAGCCAAAAAAUUUUAUUGGAGGCAUAUUGAAGAUGCUAGAGUUUGAGGCCUUAUUCAAAAAGUAUCAUUUCUAAUGAAUGACUCCAGCAGGUAUAUUUUGUCCCUACUUUGGAAGCUUUAUGCUACCUACUAGAUGUAGCUAAUGCAGAUACAUCUUCAAGGUUUUGCAUGGAAGGGUGGUGAACCAUUGCAUUCAUUAAUGAUUUGAGGAAUUCAGCUGAGUCUCAAGACAGACAAUCUCCCAAUUCUUGCAUGGUGUUAUGUUUGAGCUUCCCACCAACACUUCAAAAAUUGAUCACCAAAUUAAAGAUAUAAAAAUGGUUAAAACUAAGAAAAUUGGGAUGGAAGAUAGACUAAUACAUCUAAGGUAGAUUGUAUGUACCUGCACAAGAGAAUGCACCAUGGGUUAUGGGGUCGUCAUCAUAGAUUACUAAGGGUUGUCUUAACUGUACAGCAAAAUCUUGGUGGACACUAGUUUGCCACUGAUUGAGUUUGAUAACUGGAGACAUCCUUCUGAGCCCCAACAAUGUUGCACUGGUAGAAGGUAUUAUAGAGGCCUAUGAUAUUGGCAUAGCUAAGAUUAUUGCUUGGGAUAUUCAUGAUAGGGUUUUAGCACCGGCACAAGUUUAGCCUUCCCAUGUCUGUUGAUGAGAUAUGCUUAGAUGAUAGGGAACCUAUGUUACUAAAUGUGGUUAACUUUGUGAUGGUCCAUUGGACCACUAAUUUUGGGAUCGAUUCGAGAUCAAGCUAACCAAAUUUCAAAGCCAAGGUGAGUGCAAUAUUACUUCAUGGAGAAUUUUAAUUUAGAAUACAUAGGGAUAUUGAUACUUUAGGUUUUACAGACCUUGGGGACACACAGGUUGAAAUUGCACGACCCGAGCUAUAGGUUUUUAUGGAUGUUAUGGGUUCCACAAAUUCUAAGUCACCACAACACCAACUCCACCUACCUUGAGACCAUCUACACCACUCUCAUCUGAUGGUGGAUAUGUUUUUGUCUCUCAAGAUCUUUUGAGUGAUGCACUAAAAUGCUUAGUCACCCACGAGAAAAAAGUGACAAAUAUUGUUGAAGGAGUGCAAUAAUUGGUGAAUAAGAAGAUUAAGGAUGACAUAUGUGGUAUGAAAAUGAGGUUUGAUAGCUUUGAGCGAUCAAGAAUCUUGAAGGGAUCCAUGAGAAGUUGGCUGUAUUACGGGCUGCCAUAGAGGAUAUAGCCACAAGGCCAGAUCCAAUUGAGGAUUGCCUAACAUUUGAGGUACGAAAGGUAAAGUUUUUGAAGAAGGUGAUGAAAGAGCAAUUAAAAAGAGAAAAAUGAGAUGUGAGAGAUAAGAGAUGAGAAAAGUCAUUACUACAAGCCAUAGAUGUCACAAGACCAGUUGAGUGAGAUUCAUGAGAUAGUACCGAGGGUUGGUAGCUCCCAAAUGGGUGAUACUAUGGCUGCAACUGCUGCUAAUAUGAGUGGGGGUUCAAUAUUGACCCCCAAGAUUACUCCACCAGUAAGUGCACUGGACACAACCAGUGACCAUGUUAAUUUGAGCACCUCGGCCACCGCUUGGGCCACUAUUACUGAAAAUAGCGCUCAAUCUGAGGCCCUAAUUGAGGAGUAUUUAUGAUUCAGUUCCUUGUACACCAUAAAUAUGUCUUCACUCCCAUGUUUUAGUUUUUUCAUAUAUAUACUCUAAGGACAAUGCAUCAUCUUAGACUCAAGGGUGGGGGUAUACCACAAUUGAGGAUUUUUGUUAACGUGUUUCUUUUACCUUGACUGUACUAUCAUAGUUACCGACAUAUUUAGAUGUCCUUACUUUUUAUUAUUUUGUUUUUUUUUGUUUGUUUUACUUAGAGUAAUUUAAAAGAACUUGGUGCAGUCUAAUUUAAAUAAGCAUGCUUACCUGUUUUAUCUUUAAUUUUAAAAUAAUACCCCUUCAAAAAUCUUAUUUAUGAUGUAGUGUUUGAAUGUAUUAGGUUGUAACCAAUGUAGUAUCUAGACAUGGUAUUAGAAAUUAUAAUAGUAUAUCCUGGCUAAUCUAACAUGAAUUGAAUAGGAAGCAAUUUAGACAAAGCCUUGAGUGAGAAAGCUAUGUUACCUACUCGUUGUGUGUUGUGCCAUCUAGACCUUAUCCAAUUUGUCUUGUUAUAAGCUAUAGGAUAGAAGGUUAGGAAAUGAUCGUAGGUCUUAUUUGAAUUAGUCAACGUUAGCCUAAAGAAUCAACCAAAUGAAGAAAGUAUCCUUUGAUCCCAAAAUUUAAGCCUUAAAGUGACCAAUUUUCAUUAACCCAUUCACCUUCCCAUUUAAAAUACAAUGAACCUAUUUUGGCCCUAGUCCCUCAUUAGACACUGUGUAUCUCACUCAGGCAAAUGUUCUAAAUUAGGGUUAUUAUAUGGGUGCUAACUGAAUGCGGGUAUGACGAAGAAAGUUUAGAAAAAAAGGGAAAAAUAUUUGAGUGUGGCAUAAGCAAAUGAAAAGAUGAAAAUAAAUAAAUAAAGGAAAAGUUGAUCUAAAAAUAAACCAAACACAAAUUUCAAAAAGGAAAUAAAAUAAAGAAAAAGGAAGAAAAGGAAAAGAAAAUAAGAAAGUGGAGGCAAGAGUAGUGUAGUGCCAAGAAGGAUUAAGUCAUUGUACCUAAAUAAAUACUUUUAUUUGAUCUCUUAUUUAGGGUUAUGAACUUAUACAUUAUUUUGAGGUUCUAAGAUACAUUAUUGCUCUUGGAAUCAUUGAUAUUGGUUUUUCUUAAGGUUUUUAAUCAAUUUUAGAGUUCAAUUUUUCUUCUAUUCUUGUAAGUAUAAAAUUAUGCUUUCAAUUAUGGAAUAUCUUGUGUGCUUAUGAUCAUGAGUAUCUAAACCUCAUAACUAGGGUUGUGGGAACUAUGAUGAAUUAAUGAAGAAGUCAAUCUAGAUCGGUGUUCUUGCAUGUAGUAAUAUUUCCUUCGAUUUGAUUACUUUUUUUACGAUUGAAAAUGUCAAUAACUCGCAUGUAUUCUAAAAUUUAUCGAUAAAAAAGUAGAUAUUGGAAAAAAUAAAUAACAACAGUAAUUUGAAGCAACCGACCUUUAGCUAAUUAAUUUGAGCCUCAACCGAGAUUGUUAACCUGAUAUCACAAAAUAAGGAUUAGUAAUGUGAAGCUCUAAGUAUGAGAAAAGAUGAGUAAAAUUCAUCCAAACCAAGGUUGAGAGAUGUUUAGGUGAUACAUAUCUUAUUAGAUUUUUCUUGCAAGACAUCGAGAUAGUCUACUAAGCACGAAUAGCCUAUGGAGUUAUAACUCAUAGGGAAUACAAUCUUAAUAUGCGUCUCAUAUCGAUCAUAAUUCAAGUAACUAGAAUCUAAUACUAUUACAACUUAUGUUUACAAAAAAACUCUUUUAUUUAUAUAAUUCUCAAUUACAUCAGCAAACUCUUGAUAGAAUUUUGGCUUAUUUCUUGUGAGAUCAACCCCAAUCGAGUUGGAUUCUAUAUUUGUUCAAUGAUCGCUUUACACUUUAUUAUGAGGUGUAAUUUUGGUGACAUCAUGUCAUUGAGGGCUGAUCUUUAUAGACUAUGUGCAUAGUUUCACACCCUACAACCCUUAUUCGCUCUUGAUAAGGCAGAGAUUGCUAUACCUCUGGAUCAGUACUUUCUUUUGCUGAUUUUGGUGGACAUUCGCAUAUGGUUGAUGAGGUUAGAAUUGACUUUAGUAAGGGGCUCACCUAAGCCCAAUAGGCUAAUAUUGAAAAGAAACAAUCUGAAGAUAAUGAGCAUGCUAAGAUGGUUGGGGCUAGCUUUAGAUCCUAACCUGCUGAUUAAGUGCCUUUUGUUUUUUACACCAGUUAUAGGAGCCCAGUCUGACGAGGCUCCUAGAGUUAUUGUACCACUAUCUACGGAUGUGGACCUAAGCACUUAGUACACCACAAGUAGUUUUUACCCUCCUUUUCUCUCUCUUUACUUCUGCAUUGGGACAAUGUAAUGCUAUUUAAUAGGGAUGGAACAUUCUUAUUUUAUAUUUGAUGGUCUAUACUUAUUUGAUCUGAUAGAUUGUAUUAAUAUACUUUAUUUAUCAUUUGAUAGUGAUUUAGAUUUCACCCUCAUAGAGCUUAUUUAUUUAUGUUGACAUUUAUGUGGAUUUGGCCCUUGUUAGGUAUAUUGGUGAUAAUAUCGGAUAUUGCCCUCCUCAAUAUUAUUAUAUGCUCUUGAUUAUGAUUCGAUACCCAAUUGUGCUUUUCUUGGUGUUGAUUUAUGUUUUGGGUGAUGCCUUUAAACAUUUUGUGCAUUGUUCUUUUAUUCUUUUGUAAAUACGUGCCUAAUAAACUUCAAGGGUUUUCUUCAAAACUAGGUUCUUUCCCACAGAGCAAAUUUUGUUUUCUUUUACUUUUAUUUCUUAUCUUUACUUUGGUCUAUUUUCUUUGUCAAACCGAGUGGUAUUUCAGCCGUGAUAGAUGAUGAGGUGACAUUCUUAGAUGAAUACCUAAUACCUAAUAUUUUGAGUCUAGAUUCAAGUUGGAGUCAGCAAAAGUUUGAAAAAUUUUCUCAAACGUCAUUAGCAAGCAUUUUAAUGAUUUUGAAAAAAUGAAAAAUGUAGUUUUCUUUUUGAAACAAGCAAGGAGUUUUUUGAGCUUUCUCUUGAGUUGAGACUAUUAAAUUCAAUUUAUGGCUCUUCCUUUACAAGGAUGAGACUUUGAUCGGAGUAACUUAUUAAGUCUAUUUGUACAAAUUGGUGGGGGGACUAGUUUUCCACUUUAUGAGUAUGAUGCCUUGUAUAGUGAGGUGUUUGACUAAUUCUAAUAUAUACGUGUAUUCUAGGAUUAGCAACACGUAUGUAAUGACCUUGUAGGUUAUUUCCUCAAUUUACAUGUAUUUUCGGCAUUUUGAGCCUUUCCACAAUAGCUACAGGUCAUUUGUGACUUACUAGAAUAGUUGGUUUGAUUAUCAAGCAGUUCAUUUGGGUUUUAGGCUCAUUCCCAAUUUUAGAUCUUUCUUUUUAAGGAAUUGGUCUCGGACCAAGACUCCUAAUAAACAACCUCAGAUGGGAAUUUCGAUAGUUCCAUCAACUUUUGAACAUUGAUUUUGGGCUAGGGGGGCCAUUGGUUCAAUUCCAAAGGCUUCCGGACUCGUUUUGGUCUAUUAGGUGAAUUUUAUGAAAAAUAGAAUUAUAGGUGUGCACCCUACAUUUAGUCAAAAUAGUCACGAAUGAAAGUUUCGAUGGUUCUAUUAAGACUGAAAUAUUAAAUCUGGUAUGGUAGCAAGUUAGUUUGUGUGCAUGGGAUUUUGAAUGAAUCUCGAGCACUCGAUCAGAGUCCAAUUAGACUUAGAAAAAUCAGGUGCAUGGCAUCAGUUGGUGCAACCGCUUGAGCGGACCUUUGACCGCUUAAGUGGUGGUUGCUUAAUCGACCAGUGGGUUACUUUCUAGCCAGCCUUUUCUGUUUAUGAUCGCUUAAGCGAUGGCCUUAUUUCAUAAGUGGAGGUCGCUUAAGAAGCACUCGAUCACUUAAGCAAAGACUGGAUAUUUAUGAGGGAUUUCUUAAGUCAUCAUUUGAUCUCUUAAGUGGUGAUCUCUUAAGUGAUCAUUGGGUUGCUUUAGUAACAUCUGUACGGGAUUAAAUCCCCUUCUUCACUUAUUUUGUCCCUCAUUUCUUAACUCCUUUCCACCAUUUUGAAAUCAUGUGACAUGAGAAAGUAUGGGAAAUCAUCUAUUGAAGCUAAGGUAAGUUAACCCAACACUCCUUAGUUAUUUCCCAUUAUUUUGCCCAUCAAGUUUCAUCUUUUUUCAUUAUAAAUUCUUAUAAAUUAGGUCUUAAAAUCAUUUGACUUUAGGAGCUAAUUUGGGCCCUUAUUUAUGCUCCAUUUGAGCUUAACUUUUGAGAACAUUUCUUGUCCCUUGAGAGUCUACGUGAUGGAUUUAAUUUUGGGUUCCAUUUGCGGGCCCAGCAGGAUCAUUCUUGACCCAAAUUCUGACUCUACCUUUUAUAUAGCAAUAUUGGUCUCGAUUUACUCCUAAUGACAUAUAGGUAAUUAUUUUAAUAUUAUGGUGGUAUUUUAGGGUCGUGGAGUAAAGGUGAAUGCUCAUAAAUAAUUCAAGACUUAUGAUUUCAGCAUCGAGGUAGACUUUGAUCUAAUUUACUUUACGAGAGGUGUACGUGUAGAUUGCAUGUUAGAAUGGGAUUACCGGAUGUGAUUAUAACUAGUACAUCAUAAAUUUGCCUAAUUAAGAAGUGUGGGGAUAGAAGGGUGACCCAACCCUUAGGAUGAGAUGCUUGUUAUGGCUAUAGAAUCCAAUCACCCUAAAUUAUAAGCAUGUGAUCAUAGUUGUAUAAGGUUUAUUAUUUCACUUAGUGAACUGGACCAUAGUUUUUCAGAAUUAUAGUUUUACUAUUUAUGCUAUUUAUAUAUUAUUAGGCCCGAGGAUAUGGCUAUGAUACUUUUUUGGUUUAAUUUGUAAUUUUAUUCAUCAAUCAAAUUAAAUUCCACAUAAAUAUGGACCAACCCAUCCAAUAAUCUAACAACAAAAGAAACUAACAAAAUAAGAAAAUCGGACCAUCCCACUAGUUGAACCGGCCUAAAAAAAUAACAUAAAUAAUGAGUAGGGUUUCCAAAAAUGAGCUAAGAGUUAAGCUCCACUUUUUUCCGUUCCCUGGUUGUGUUGGAUUGAAUCUUAUUCCAGCUUGCAAGAGUAAGAAACUUCUUCCCUUUUGAUGUCUAUUGCUUAAACUUAUGCUUUGUCCCUUAUUUGAUGCUCUCCUUUCUAUAUUCUCAGCUGAGUUCUCCAGUGUAAGGGUGAACGUUGUGGUUUUUAGUGCUAAAAUGAUGGGUCUAGUCUAUUGAGGCUUGUUCUUUUUUCCAAGUAAGAUGACUCCAUUAUUGAGCUUGUUGAUCUUGCUGACUGCCUUAUUUCUUAACCUUAUCAUUCUUGAUCUAUAGUUAUGGAUGGGAUGGAGAUUAUGAGAUACUCGAACCCACAUGUAAUUGGAUAGUAACAAACGUCUCAGACGUUUGCAGUUAAGAUCUAACCUUGUGACCCCCCCNNNNNNNNNNNNNNNNNNNNNNNNUUAAGAAGCAUACUGGGUCCCCCCCCCCCCCCCCAAUUGCUGAUUCCAUUUUUGUUGGUUGGUGUAGUUAGGCUAAGUAGCAAUUUCACUUUUUUUACCUUCUCAGGUUGUAAAUGUAAUGCAUGUGAAUUAACUUACUUUAUCCAUUCCAAUCGUUUUACCUUUUUCAUGGUGCUAACCUUAAAUAGGGACAUUAUUGUUUAUCACUAUCUAGAAUCUUCGUGCCUGCACUUGGUAACUGAUGGAAAGAUGUAUAUUUGAAUUUCCUUUGUUCCAAUGCUAAGUUAGCCAGAUAGUCUGCUAAUUGAUUACCUUCUCUAAAUAUAUGUUGUGUCUGUACUUGCUUAGCUGAAAGUAGUUGCCAUAUUCGAUUGAUUUUUUCUGCUAUGUUCCAUGGGAUAUCCCAUUCCUUUCUUAAAAGCUUUUGCAUGACUAAAGAAUCUGUGUCUAUGAUACCAAUUGGACUCUAGGUGAGUAAUCUAUCCUUAUAAAGGACAUGGCUUUAGUCUAUAGACACCUAGAUAAUAUAAUUGUAUUGUCUGGAUACUGGUGAUGGCAUGCAUACAUUAUGGCAGAUUAAGUCUCACUUAGUGGUACGAUUCCAACCAAAACUAUUAUUUCACUAUUAUUAUCUAAAAAUGGAUUUAUUCUUGUAUUUCACUUUUAUUCUUUAAUAAAGGGAAUCAUACCACCUUACUUAAUGAUUUAUGAGCUUUUAGAACUAAAUUAAUAUUAUGUAAAUUUGAUGGAGAUUGAUUUCGGUCCAUGGUUUAGCCAAUCUUUGAUCACUAUUAUUUACUUUGGUCUAGUGAGAUUCCAACCAUUUCAAUGCCAUUAUACUAAUCUAGUCAUGAAAUUAAUCUUGAUUAAUGGAUUUACAGACUUACUCUUUUAGCCAAGGUUCGAGUUUGUGCAUUUAUUAUGAAUACAUCUCUCCAAUACUAGAUGAAGUAGAUUUAUAAUGAUGAUGAUUAGAAAUCCUAGAUCGGAACCAGGUGGUAUAGACAAAUAUUCUUGAAUCUCCUAGGGUCCUCUUUGUCUAUGAGCCACAUUUUUUAAGAAGAAAGGUCAUUGUAGGUCCUACCUUUACGAGCUGGUAAGCUGGAGGAGAUGUAUACACUUAGUACAUUAUGACUCUUAGAUCAGAUAUGGUACUAUGGAUUUACUUUGUAUUCAUUCAUUCAUAUGCAUUUCCUAUCACCAGUAUUUUUUUUGUACUUACAUCUAUCAUCCUUAUAAGGGUUGCAUAGGUAUAGGCUAUGAUUGUUGUUUGCUGAGUGUUAAUUGAACCUUAUGGGUUUAUGAGGACCUAGUUAAGUAUUGUUUGUAUGGACUAUCUAGUUGCUUUAUUGUUGUUAUCUUUGUUAGUUCGUGGCAAGUUGAUUAUAGAUUGGUACCUGAGGUUGUUGAUAUGAAUCUGAGCAUACUUUGUUAUAGUAAAUUGCAUUAUGGUCAGUGUAUUCGUGGCUAGACAUUUUGACUAUAGGUCCUGAUCAUGCUAGUAUUAUCUUUCUUACUUGGUUAGAAUUCUCUAGAGAAGUUAGGUUGUUACCUUUGACUUAGUCAAAUAUACUUAGAUACAUGUGUGUGUGUGUUCUUACUGUAUAUCCCUUUUUUUCCUUGUUCAUUCAUAUUGUAUAUGUAUUUUUUGGCCUUGUAUAUUACUAUGUAUCAUUCUUUCAUUCUUCAUUGGUAUAUUGGUUGGUGAUAUAUGGUAUUGCACUUUAGACCAUAGUUACUAUUAUGAUAAGAUAGUUUAUCCUUAUUGCCUCACUAGCUAUAUUACGUUUAUCUUCUUGAAUAGUUUCUUGUAGCUUAUAUUCCUGCUUUACAUAUUUUUUAUGUUUGCAUUAUCUUUAGAGCUCAAUUGGUCGAUGUCUACUGAGUACCACGUCUUUGGUACUUAUACUACAUAUCUACAGCAUAUGAGUUCUCAUUGUUGUUGUGUGCAUUGUGUAGAGCAGCUAUGGAUCGGAGAUUUAGGGUGACCUCCUAGCAUUUAGAGUAUUACUACUCUCCCUCUUAUGGAUUGGGCUAAUCUAAUAUUGUAUUUAGAGACAACCUAUAUUUGUAUUCACUCUGUGUUUCACUUUAUGCUCCUAUUGUAUUAUAGGCUCUUGUAUUAACUUCACCAGGUCUUGGGGUUGCUUUAUAUAUAUUAGCCCUUUUAUUAUAUUUAUUCCACUAUUUCCCUUCAUUUCUUUUGAUAGUCUAUUAUCAUAGGUCCUGACGAUGGAAUGGCUUACCUACUAGUGGGUUAUAGCAGGUGCCAUCAUUAUAUGCGAAAUUGGAACAACACAACUUCUCAACUAAGUCUCCCCACUUGAAUACCACAUUUUAUCAUUUACAAAUUACAAUUCUCACAUGUUCACAUAGAGAUACUAAAGUUGAGUCUUACUACAUGUGCUUACCAUGUUAGAUCCCAAUUCAAAGAUAAAAAGUGCUACAUCUAAGGAGAUCAUGCUAGUAUGAAUUAUAGGAUAUUUUAUUCUAUUUCCCUUAGGAACAUUCAUUUUGAUCAGUGAUAUGCUCUUAGGCUUGUUCUAAAACUUAACAAAGUCUCUUUUGUAUCAAGAGUUAUCACAAGAAUAAUAAUUCUUCUUAUCAUGUAAAUCAACUAAUCUCGAGCUUUGAUCAAGAGGCCAUUAGUCACAUAAUGCAAACAUCAACGAGUUUAUCAAUAAUGACAUUCAAGCAAAUUCUAGAUUCACUUUAAAAAAUUUUGGUAACUAAACCUAUCUAAGAAUAUUCUUGAGCAUUCCUACAAUCAGCAACUUCCAAAAUUUCUACCAAGAGUCACAUCAUAAAUCCACUAUCUAACUAUUACACAAGAAAUCGUCAUCUCACUCCUUCUUCAUUAUUAGAACCUUAGAUGGAAUAAGCACAUCACAAUUGUAACAAAAAAUCUACUUUCUACCAUCUAAACCACUAUUAUCUCACUUCUCCAUGCUUAGAACCUUAGAUGGAAUAAGCACGUCACAAUUGUCACAAAAAAAUCUACUUUCUCUCAUCUUAAUCAUUACUUAUUUGCUUUCAUCACCACUUAAUACAUCAUUGGUGGGAAUAUAGAGGAAAAGGGGAUGAGUAGAAACCAUUUGGAAUACAAAUAAAGGCCUAUCUUUUCCUUGUAUUAAUAGGUCAUGAACUGAGCAUUAUUAUGUAAAGGACGAGCAUUAGGAAUAUGAGGAAUAUUAUCUGCUCUUGACUAUUACUUAUCAUAAGAUGGAUAUUCAAAAUGAGGCCUAUGAUGUAAGGUAUAAUAGGAGCGAAUACUUAUUAUUUAAAACAUAUAAAGAAUGGAUAGAGAUUCAUUCUAAGCAUAGACAUGACAUAAUCAUCCAUUACCAUCGUAGGUGGACAUACGUAGAGCUUAGAGCAAAGAAAUCAUAAGCAUGAACUAUUCAAGACAUCUAAUAUAAGCAUAUGCACAAUGUAGCAUGAUUUAACUAUCUAUUAAGGGCAUAUCAUGAGUUCAUAAGAUUGAGCAUAUUAGAAAGUAUAAGUUUAUAUACCAGGAGUUGUAUAGUAGAAGACUUGGAUUUCUAGAAUCAUAGAAUAGAAUUAGGAUCAUUAUUUGAAGUUCUUGCUUCUUACUCUAGAAACUGAGCAUGGAGUUAAAUUUGCAUGGAGUGCAUGAACCGGGGUUUAAGGCAUAACACUAAUAAGCAAGACCUGAGUAGAGUGUUAUCUUAUCUGAAGUAUAAGGAAUAUGUUGAUAUAAGAAUGGUCAUUGUUUCAUCAUGGUUCUUUUUGAUACUCUGUAUUGUAUGAAUCUCAAGAUCUAAUCAAGAAUUCAUUCUAUCAUCUCCAACUGAGCUUAAAAGUUGAUGAUGUAAGUCUAUGGACUUCUCCUCUAAACUGAGUUAUAACUAAAUUACUCUGUAUAAGUGUUGUGCCACUAUACAUCUAAAUGUUACACUUUCUCUUAUAGACUAUACUAGAUGACCCGAGCUCAUGCGAUGCACGAGCGAGAUUUUAAUGGUAAAGAAAGCAGUAAAAGUAAGUGAAGUAGUAAGUCAUAUCAUAGAAUAGUUACAUGAUACAAUGUUAUGCUUCAUAUUAUGUGGAACAAAGAUUACAUUGUGCAGAUUCUAAAAGUAUUACAUAGACAUAACAUUUGUUGAUCCAAAAAGUGUCAAAGCCUAAAAUGUGAAUUCAUAUAGUUGUUGGUACCAAAGUCACAUCUGCGCAUUAACUAGGAAAAUAAAAGUAUUAAUAAUGAUAAAUUAAGCAAUACUUGAGAUAGGAGGCAGACAGUCAUUUGCCAAGCAACCAAAUAGAGGGUCUAUGAAAAUCCAUUCCACUUACAGCAGAGAGUAGCUGAAGUGAGUGAUCUCUUUAUACAUACCAGAGAAAGAGAGAGAGAGUUGUUGCAAUACUAAGUCUCCCAUGGCACCAGCCUACAUCGCAUAUUCAACAUUUGUAAUUAUAAGUAACUGGAUAAGAUUCAAUGGCAUAAAAAAUAGAUAUAAUGCAAAAGUAACCAAGUAGAAUCAGCAAAAUAUAUGGCAGUAUUUUCAUAGUACAAAGAUCAUUAAAUAUUUGUUAAUUCUUAGUCAAGCUAGUAACCUUCUCAAGUGGAUAUUCAAUUAAAUAUUUAACUCGUUUGACCUUGAGACACUAUAACACACUCUUAAGACUAUGCAGAUGCACAUGAGCUGGUUUAUAAAACAAUAUUUUAACAAUUAUGUUUGAUCAACUUCAGAGUGACUCCACUUCAAACAAUAUUUUUGAAUGAUAAGGUAUGAAAAAAAUAUUGGGAAGCCACAAUUCCAUAGCAGCUAGAUCUGAGCCAACUAAUUUAGUGGUCUCCCUCUCUUCCUAUUGUUUGAACCAAAACUCUAGCAGUCUGUGAAGUAACAUGCAGUGAGGAAAAUGAAUAGAACCCUUUGAUCAUGAUUCCAGAUUAGUGAGGCAUUCUGACAUGACCUGAACUGGGUCCUAGUCGUUUCAGGUAUCUCAAGUCUAACCAGGACUGGAGACCACCCCCAAUACCCUGCCGUAACCAUCCUACACCCCAUGUCGAAUGAAUUUCAAAUAUAUAACAAGAUAAUACAAUAUAUUAAAUACAAUAAAAUAAGUCUAUAACCAUAGCCAAACAACCAUAGCCACAUGUCUAACCAAUACCAAUACCAAUCCCAAUGUCAAUACCAAUACCAAUUCUAACACUAAUUCCGACACUGCUCAUGCCCAUAGUAGUCCGAUAAAGCCUCUAACUAGAAUCAAAGAACAUUUGGUCAAGACAUGCCCCCGACCAUAGCCAAAACCAUAACCAAAGGAAUAACAAUAAUGAAAAGAAGUCCAUAGCAUGAAUGGAGCCUUCCAGAGGAUGGAAGCUCACCACUUCAAUCUAGCUCAAAAGCUGUCCCUAAAUCCUAGUCAUUGAGCAGGAGGAAUAGUAAUAUAGCCAGUUCCUACAUCGCGAGAGGAUAUGGUGCUCGAAGAUGGUUAGCGGGGUAAACACUAGCAUGUAACUUAGAGAUAAAUAUAAGAUAAUGCAAUCAUUCAAAACCAAAUCAAACAACCAUAUGCAAUCACAUAUAUACAUAUAUACCAUGUUGGGAUAGGGAACAAGGUUUAGCAUGCAUUGAAAAUCUUAACCUGGGUUGUGUAGCUUGGCCGUCCUAAAAUCACCCAUGGGCUAUAUGGGUUCAUCUCCCCCUGUUGAAAGGUCCCAAAUGCGUGUUAGCCGUAUAUUAGAGAAAAUAACUUGAGAUGAAUAGUAUAUCCCAAAAAUAUAAAGUGUGUCAUCAUGCACACGAUCACCGAGACCAUCAUCACAUCGGCAAACGUGAGUUUCCAAUGUCGGUCCCCCUGAGACCUCUACCUUCCAUGGCUUUUCUACUCAAUCCCCUUUAAUUCCAUAUUAAAUUAUUUACACAUUUUCAACCAUUUACCAAGGAGUCUUAAUUAGGUAUUAACCAUUGGUAUCGUCAUACCAAAAUUAGAGCUUGCAAGUUUAUUACCUUAUGCCAUAUCUACCAUUCAACCAAAUUAGGCUCCACCAUUUCCAAUUAUAUUUUUAUUUUGUAUAUAAAUGUACAUAAGUAUUUUCUAUACAAAUGCAUAAACUAAUCUAGUUACUAUAUUUUUCAGUGAAUAAUGUACCUGGACCAAUGAAGUAAGUGGUAAGCUAGCAAUUUGGUCAGGCUUCCAGUUUCAACAGUUGUAAUUAGUGAUGAUAGUAAGAUUUUAAGUACUAAAGUUGUAGUAAGAAGAUCAUUCCUUCAUAAUAGGAAAGAACUUUUUGCUUUACUAAUGGUAUAAAGAGAUUUCUUGCAUAAAUUUUUGGUCUAUGGCUGUAGUUUAGCAGUAGAUUGAUGCCUUGAAAGAAGAACACAUAAGAAGGGACAUUGAUAAGUAAAUUAAAUGCCAAAAACAUAAAAUUAGUAUAAUGGCACAUUGACUAAAGAACAACUUGAUAGGAACUUCAAAUUUUGCAUUUUGUAAAGAGAAAAAUAAUAAAAAAUUAUACCCGAAGAUAGAAACAUAAUUCUUGACAUUCUUCGGCAAAGAAAAUCUGAUAGUGCAGACCAAGUAAGUAGUAGAAUCACAGAUUUUAGCAAUAAAGGACACUCAUCUUGGUGUAAUAUCCAUUAAUGGUCCUUUUGUUGUUUUUGUUGUUGUUGUUGUUGGUUUUGGAGUAGGCUCAGAUUUGGCCUUCCUCAGACAAAGCCAAAGCGCUUCUCAGAGAAACUGGCAUGGUUGUAAGCAUCGAUUAGGCUUAUGAGAUAGAAAAGAAAUACUAACAAUGAAACUUUCUUCUCUACUUCUCACAGCCUCAUUGACCAACCAAGUGAAGAUACUAUUUUUUUCUAGUGCAAUGGAUAUGUCUGAUUCAUCUUCCAAAGAAGAUAGGGUUUGGAUUCUUCAUCACCUUAUUGAAGAAAAUUUACAAUCUAAGAGAGUAACAGGAAAAAGAAAAGAGAUAUGAUGGUUUAAUCCAUGCAUAAUUAGAAAUUAUUGGCCAAGUUAACUUAUGUGAAAGCAAUAUGGACUAAAUGUUCCCUCUUUAUAAAAAUCAAAGGCAAUCCAAUGCAACUAUGUGUAGAAUUCUAAAAGGUAGUCAUCCAAAUAUGCAAGAAAGGAUAAAAAUAGGAUUAAUUCUCAAGAUAUAAUCAAUGAAGUAACCAAACUUUAUCAUUAUUCAAGAUUAAAGAAAACAUAAAAUAUGAAAAAAGAAAAUUAAAGGUGCAAGCAAGCUGAAGGACAAACAAUAGGAUAAAAAAUACAAGAGAAUUUCAUUGUAGAAAUGCAAGGUAAAGAAAGAUUUGUAAAGUAGAAAAGACAAUCCAUAAAUGCAUUUCUAUACAUCAUGCAUAAACAAGUUUGUAAUAACACCGAUAUACACCAAUAGCAUGUGAAGAAGAGAGUUAUAUAAUCCACUUCUCUCAAACCUAUUUGAUCAACCAAGUGAAAAUACAGGUAUUUAGAGCUUAAUGGAUACAUGGUUGAUUCAUCUCUGUAGAAGAUAGUUUUUCAAUUCUUCAUUGCCUCAUUGAAUAUAAUUUAGAAACAGAAGCAAAACAUGAUUAAUAUAGCUAAAACAUUACAACGUUAUAGCUAGUAAUACCUAUGAGAAUGAUAAAUCAAGUAACAGUAGUAUAAAUAUUUCACCUUUUCUAAUACAAAAAUUAUCAACUUGAAAGAAGCAGUGGUAAAGAAUAAAGGAAAGUUAUAAUUUUGCUUACCUUGUUUCAUUGGUGCAACUUUUGUCAGAAUGUAGGAGUUCAAAAAGUGAUUGCAAAAGAUACUUAAUUAACCUUCAGAAAUUUUCAUAUACAAAACAAUGAAUCAAGGUACAAUAAACUUAUAUGUAGAUAAACCUACACUUAUUAUUAUUGAAAUGUAUUUUCAAUAGUCCAGUGGUACUUUACUAAGGCGAGAACUCUAAAGCAGCAAAUCCUAGACGAACAUAGUACUACAGGAUUGCUCAAAUUAGUAAUUUGUUUAAGAGAUAUCAAAGUAUAUACCAAGUACAAGAUUGAGCAAGAUAAUCAAAAAAUAUAAAAUAAAAGUCGACCAAAAAUGAAAGUAGAGGUAAGAACAGAAACUUAACACACAGAGAGCAAUAAGAAUGAAAAGACAGGGAAUAGUCUAUAACAAACUAAAUAUGUAGAUGAACCUAAACUUAUUAUUAGUGAGAUGUAUUUUCAAUAGUACAGUGGUGCUUUACUAAGGUGAGGACUCUAAAGCUGCAAAUCCUAAAUGAAUGUAGUACUAAAGGAUUGCUCAAAAAGCAAAAUAAUCAAAAAAAUUUAAAAUUAAAGUAUACCAAAAAAGAAAGUUGAGGGAAGAACAAAAACACAACACACAAAGAGCAAGAAGAAUGAAGAGAUGUAGAAUAGUUUACAAGGUUACACAAAAGAAAGCGAAGUUAAUAAAAUGAAUCCCUAAAAAACAAAGUGGACAAAUUGCAUAUAUGGAUCUUCUUACUUCAUACAUGUAUAUUAUGAUCCAAAAAUAUCAAAGAUAAAAGUAAGUCAACUAUGCAUUUCUUGUUUAAAAUAAUAUGACAUGAGCUUGGGAUAAGAGUUGGAGCUAUCCAGAAAUAAUAGAAUUUGCUUUAUCAGUACUACAUAGUUGACAAAAAAGGAGAACUUAGCUAAAUAGAUAGAGGAAAAUAAAGAUGAUGAAUGUAGGUAAAACAUAAAAUUUGGGUAAAAUUUAUGCUAAAAACGUGAAUGCAGGUUUGAGCCAAAAAUGCAGAAAUAAAUGCAACAUUGGCUCAAGGAAAAUAAUAGUUAAUAAUUAUAGAAGAAGGAAUGGUAAAGAAUAGUGAGAAGGUGUAAUUUUGAUUAUCUUGUUUCAUCAGUGUGACUAUUACCAGAACAUGAUAUGCAUAGAGUAAAAUUUAGCAGAAAGCAGCAAAAAGGGGUCACCAAAAAAAUGCAUAUAUGAAGGAAUAAGGUAUUAAUUCAUGUUACAGACUAAUUUAUAGAGAAUUAUUUAAUUAUAGAUUGUUGAUGGAAGAAAUUCCUUAAAAGAGACUUGCAUAAUCAUGGAUCGGGGAAAAUGAAAAAUUAUCCAUAUUUAUUACCUUUGUCCCACAAAAUCCAAAACUGAUUGCAAAAAGAAAGUUGAUGAACCUACAAAUAUAUUUAUCAAGAAUGAAAGAGGGUGCAAUAUAGAUAGAUGGAAAAUAUUAUAGUAAUUAUAUUGAAGGUAUUAUAAGUAUUGAGAGAAAGAAUAAGAAAGGAGUUUAUUGGCGAUAUUUAAUUCAUCUUCAUUGGAGUUGGUACUCCAUUUUUUGUUUCAUCUUGAGCAUGUCACGUUGUUUAUUUUUUUUUCAGUUUGUUCAGUAGAAUUGAAUUUAUUUUUGCCUAUUGCUUUCUUUUUUGGUGUGAGUUGUGGACGAUGCAGGAAGAUGAGAUCUGAUUUCUCCUUUUUAAUAUAGGAUAAAAUAAAGAUUUUUCUAGAGAUUUUGCGAUCGGUGGGGGGAAGUGUUUCUUUCACUUGAAUCGUGAACAAAUUUUGAGUCAAUUAGAUUUGAUCAUUUUGUGUUAACUGAGACUCAUUCUAUGGAGAAAUACAUUUAGUUUUUCUAUUUGUUAAAUAAUUAAGUUGAUAUGUUUAUUGAAUGGUUAAAUUUUUUACCCCAGUUGAACCAAGCUCGUAGAUUUGUUCUGGUGUAAGAGAUAAUAAUUUUUUUCCUUCUUUGCCACUAACUUUCCCAAUUAUUGAGCUUGUUUUAUCUUCAAGAUUCACAUCAAAUCGGCACUUGUAGUAAUACGUGCUAAUACUUUGGUUGAUAAAAAGAGAUAUCUUACUGAUAUUGUGGCUAAAUGUGUGUAUAAUAUUAGGAUAGAAGUACCUGGGAGCCAACAUAUUUCAUUGAAGACAAUUCAAACAUUGAAAUUUUCUCUUUGCUGAAUUUUUAACUUCUUGUGGAUAGUUUGGAUGGGUUAAACAUAACAACAUUUGGGCCUAUUUGGCAGGGUUAUUUUUGCUUCGAUGGUGAAGGCGAGGCCCUAUCGGAAAAGGUGAUAGCAAGCAUCACAAGGCUAAAUUUUACUGCAAAUUAUAAAUCAAGUGAAUAGAAAUUAUACUAACAUCUUGUUGUGACUGAAUAAUGGCGAUUAAUACUAUUUCUUCGUCUACUAGAGCAGAGACCAAAUAUCCAGAUUAGGAAGUGCUUCUUGCAGCAAAGAAGUUGAAUAUUUUACUAUUUUCCAUAACCCUAUUUGAGUUGGUAUUGAAGAUAUUUAGCAUAAUAAUAAUAAGGUAGAAGUCAAUAUGAAGUAGAGUAUAGUAAGUUGAUACCAUGAUUGCAGUUGUAGGCAUUCUGGAUAACGUGGAUCAAUCUGUAUCAUUGUGUUAAAUUUGAUUGUCAACAAUAUCCCUACAUUAAUUCUAAUAAUAAUGAAGUUAGUGAAGAAAAUAGAAUUUGAUAUAAAUUAAUUAAUUACAGUAAUGAUUGAUUCAAUAAAAAUAAAAUUUUAUGUAGCUGCCACGUAUAAGAUGGGUGGUUGAUGUUGUUUGCAAAAUUGUACUAUUUAUCUUACCAUAGAAUUUGGAUACCUAAUAUGUCUGAUACAUAUGAUCGGAUGUUGUUGAAACCGCGUAAGGAGUUUCUUGCCUUCGGCUUUGAUAAGAGCUUUCUUUCCAUAGUGUGAAUGUGUAAGCUUGUUAGCUUUGUAUAACAAAAUAAGUAAUAUGUUGUAUAUUUUAUAUUGUGAAGAAAUAAGAAUUGUGGAAAAUUUGGCUAAUAUACUUACUUGGUGUCAAUAACAAUUAGUUCUUGUAGUCUUUUUUGAACGUUUGUAACAUAUCUUGGUGGAAAGCAGUUAAAAACUAUUGCUAGUGCAUCUGUUGAGGGGAAAAUACAUGUUAGCUCGUGCUGAAGCGGAUAUUUAGUGGCACAAAGAGUGAAAUAAUCAUACUGUAUUUGCAGUCUUAAGUUGUUCUUUGGCAUCUCGGGUGGCUUGAUUAUUGAUAUCUUGAAAUGAUGUAGCAUUGACCAUUCUAGGUAGUAGCAACUCAUUUUUAUCUGAGUCAUCUCUAUCAAUUGGAUUCGCUAUGGUAUUUUUAUCAAUAAUUCAUUCAAAUAUAUGUAAAGGUUUUCAUAUCUUAAAGUUGGUUAUUGUGCGCAUUGUAUCCAUUAUCAAAUACGUGUGAAACAGUUGGAACAUAUCUUGAUAAGGGGAAGCAUCAUAUCACCUAGACAAUUAUUUUUACUUGAUUGUCCUGUAGGUAAUUUUAUGGGUAAUAAUAUGAGAGGCAGAAGUAAGGAAUGUAAGUAGUAGAUUUGAUUUUCAUAAUAGGAAAUUACAUGUUCAUCUUGAAACAUCAUGUUCAUAGAUUUUAUAUUUUGUUCUCUAUCUUCUCCUCCUAGCCUACAUAUAUCUACAACUUGCACUUUACAUAUCUAGUCUAAUAUUUCAAGAGUGACUGCAUGCAUAUUUAGUCUUUCUGUCAUUUUUUGUAUAGCCUGCGAGAUAAUUAAAGAUGAUUAAUACAAUAAAAGAUCAUAAUAGUAGGACCGUGGUAUAUGAGAAACAUAAAUUCAAGUUUUGAUUAGUAUUUAUACAACAAGCAAUGCUGAUUUAACAACUUGAAUAAACUGUUUUUAAAAGAGGAAAAGAAACAAUUAUAUUAACAGGCUUCUUCAUUUACAAAUACUAAUAAUUAGAAGCAAAGAGCAGGCUUGGACAGCUCAAAGGGUAUGCCGUUAAGGGGUAGAGGGGGAGAGAGUGUUAGUAAAGGCACGGGGUAUGCAAUCAUUUGGCUGGAGUGAGACAGUGAAACAGAACUUGUUCAACAUAACAAAGAUCAAAAGUGAAGGGUAUAAUUGGUGAUGAUAUCAAGUUUUGAGUACUGUUGUUGCAACUAGUACAUAAAAAAAUUGACACAGUGAAAGGGAUAGUGAAUUGAUAUCAUCAACUUAACAAACUCCAAUUUGGCAAAAUAAAGCAUUUAAAACUUUUGCAAGCAACGCAAUGACCAACAGGACUAAAUCAAUCAACAGGCAGGUAUGAGUUCUCAUUGUAAUAGCAAACUUCCCAUAAAAUGUGAUAUUGAUUCUAGAAUCCAAAAUCAACAGCCCCAACCCCACGAUAAUGUUCAUACAGAUGGUGAUGCCAAGCCAUAAAAUUCCAUGGAAAAUGGAAAUAAUCACACAAGAAAAAAGUUGAAAAAUGCAGCAGCAAAAGAUAUGCAAAUAGAUGCUGAGAAGAGGGCUAAUUAAAAGGUUGUGGAUGUAGAAAAUGUCCCAAAAGGGACCCAAAUCACUAGUGAUGAUAAUAUUCUAAAAAGAGGCUCAGAUAUUGACUCAAUGUUCCAUGAAACCAUCUAGAUAAUUUUAUUAUUUUUGUUGGGACUUCUAUUGAAGUUAAUGGGCAUAAGAAUGAUGGUCAGGAGAAGACUACUAAUGGCAUGACCUAAUCCCGGGCCUGGCUGUGAUGGGUAUCUGAAGCCCAUAGUGGGCCGAAGACCACCCCUAGAGUCUGUCCAAUCUAAACAUGAUAUAGUAUAAUAGCAGAAAAAUUCAAGUAAACAUAUGGAAGAUAAAUAACCAAUACAAAGGUUCUAGGAUCUCAAACAAACAUCCCAAUCCAUAGUUGUCCACAAACGCCUCUAAAACAACCCAAAUAUCAACUAGGUCGGGACAUGCCCACAAUCGUGGAAAAAAAAGAAUCCAAAAUAUGAAAAAAAAAAGAAUAGGAUUUCUAUACUCAUAAAGAAAACAAUGAAAUGUUUGGCCUUUUGGAAGAUGGAGGCUCACCACUUCAAUGUAGACCAACCGACGAACCAGAAUCCACACAAUGCUACAUGUGGGCAAAAGAGGUAUCUGCAGACCCUACAUUAUGAAACAAUGUAGCAUAUUAGGACGAUUAGCAGGGUGAGAACUGGCAUGUAAUAAGGAUAAAAUAAUGCCAUUUCAAAAUCAAGUUCGACUUAUUUUACAUGUUCACAUACAUGCGUACAUACAUAUAAAAGAUGUUCAGAUAGGAAACAAGGUUUAGCAUGAGAUUUAAAAUCAUUAACAAGGACUAUGUAUCUCUGUCCGCCAUAAAAAAACCCACGAGCUAUAUAGGUCUGGCUUCCCUCACCAAAAGGGCCCCAGUGCAUGUUAGUCGUACGAACUGGAGGUAUCAAGGAUGGCCAAGGAAUCUAUGACCCUACGCUACUCAUGGAUACAAAUAUAUAUAAAAAAAGUGUGACACAUGCACACGAUCAUUAAGACCAACCCUAUAUCAGUAAACGUGAUUUCCAGUAUUGGUCCCUCGGGGACCUCUACCUUCACGACAAGUGACACAACCCCCUUUAUUCCUAAUUAAAGCCUUUACACAAAAACUCAUCCAUUUAACCAAGGAAUCAUCCAUUAAGGCAUUAUCAAUGGUAUCGCCAUACCAAUUACGCUUGCAAGCUAAUAUCAUUAUGUCAUUUCAAUUAUCCAUCAACAUAGGGAAAUCCACGACCCCCAAGGUCCAAUUUAAAAUCAAAAUAUGUUCCAUUAACCCUUUUAUGCAAUGCAAGGUUUCAAAAAUUAGUUUCAAUAUGCAUAUAUCCAUGCUUCAAAGCCAAUUUCGUAAGGUGGUUUAAAGUUAUUACCAAUUCCAAUACCAAAUUCAUUUACGUGGGGAAAUCCAUGACCCCCAUCCCAAUUCCCAUGAUUAUCCACAAAUUCAAUUCAUAAACCAUGACAUAAAGCAUGAAUAAAUAUAACAAAAACCAUGAGAAAACCAACCAAGUAGUAGUCAUUCAAAACCCUCAACCAUCAUUCAAAACCCAAUAAGUAAAUCCAUAUAAACCAUAAUUAAGCAUAUGUUUUUCAUAAGGCAAGUUUUAGGGAAGAUAUAAAUGCUUGGGAUACCAAGAAUUUAAAGGAGAAAUCACAAAUUGAGCCCUAGAUGACCAAUCCCUAGAAACCCUAAGUUUGCUUUUAAUUAGGGAAUUUGAGAGAGAAGAGAAGUGUAUGUUGGCUAAAUGAUGAAAAUAGGGACACUUAGGUGUUUUAUGUUUGUGGGUAAUAUUUAGAGUAGGAGGGAAAUGUCCAAAGUGCCCCAAAUUAAAAUAUAGGAAAACUUUCGCCAGUGGCUAUGAGUCAUCUCAUGACUCAUGAGGACUGAUCACGAGUUGUCACCAUAACUCAUGGUAAGGGCAAAAGGUUUUAUCCAAUAUACUGGUUUGGUCAUGAGUCCCUCAUCACGACUCGUAACCUCACCAUAUGACUAGUGAGGUCCAAAUUGUGACCUCAACAGAAAUCAUGGACAAACUUACUGGUUAGGCUACGAUUAGUACCCUAUGACUCGUGAGGAGUAUUCACGACUCGUCAACUAAAGGCUAAGCAGUGAGCAUAACAAAAAGAGAAUUUUUCAGAGUUUAGAACCUGGGGUGUUGCAUUACCCCUCCCCCUCCAAGGAUUAUUUAUCCCCAAAUGAGGAAUCAACAUACUCAUUAGCACGAUACAAGUAAGAAUGUAACCACAAAAACUAAAGAUAAAUUCAAAAGGCCACAAGAAAAGAAUGGGAAUCAUACCUCAAGGAUUGUCAUGCAAUGCAGGGAAACAAGAAUGGAUAUUUGGACUUUGUGUCUUCUUCGGCUUCCCAAGUAACUUUCUCUACCUUUUGAUUCCUCCAAAGGACUUUUACCAAAGCCAUAUACUUAGUCUUCAAUCUCCAGAGUUGCCUAUCAAAAAUCUUAACCAGGAUUUCCUUAUAGGACAAGGAAUCCAAAAUAACAACACCUUACAAAGGAACAAUCAAAGAGGGAUCACCCAUGCACUUCUUCAACAUCGACAUAUGGAAACUCGGGUGAAUAGAACUCAAACUCACAGACAGCUCCAAUUCAUAAGCAACGUUCCCUACUCUCUUAAAAAUUAAAUACAGACCAACAUAAUGGGGACUACGUUUCCUCUUCUUCCUAAACCUCAUCACUCCCUUCAUAGGAGAAACUUUCAAGAAUACCCAAUUCCCUACAUCAAACUCAAACUCCCUUUGCCUCACAUCUGCAUAGGACUUUUGGCGACAUUGGGCCAUCUUAUGUCCCUCCCUAAUCACAUUUACCUUUUCCAUGGCUUGGAGAACCAAAUCAAGACCAAACAACUUAGUAUUGCCAACCUCAAACCACCUAAUGGUAGACCUAUACCUCCAACCAUAAAGAGACUCAAAAAGAGUCAUCCUAAUAUUAGAGUGACAACUGUUAUUAUAUGCAAAAUCAAUGAAAGGCAAAUGAUCAACCCAUCUGCCUCCAAAAUCAAUAAUACAAGCCCUUAACAUAUCCUUCAAAGUCUAAAUAGUCUACUCUAUUUAUCCAUCCAUUUGAGGAUAGAAAGCAAUGCUAAGGUUCACCUUAGUCCCCAAACCAUUCUAUAACAAGAGCCAAAAGUGAGAAGAAAAUUAUGUACCCUGGUCCAAAAGGAUGGACAUCAGUGCUCCAUGAAAUUUAAAUAUCUCCUUAAUGAAUAACUUAACAUAAUCCUCUCUAGUGUAGGUAGUCCUCACAGGAAAGAAAUAAGCAAACUUAGUCAUCCUAUCCACAAUGACGCAAAUCAAACCAUACUGAUUGCGAGAUCGUGGAAAACCCAUAACAAAAUCCAUAUUGAUCAUCUCCUACUUCCACAUAGAAAAAUCUAUCUAUUGAGACAUUACACCAAGCCUCAAGUGCUCAACCUUUACUUGCUGAUAGACCAUACACUAAGCCAUGAAGUUAGCCACAUCCCUCUUCAUAUUGUUCCACUAAUAAAUCUCACUUAAAUUGCGAUACAUCUUUGUCAAACCUGGAUGAAGUGUGUACCUCGACUCAUGAGCCUCAGUCAAAAUCCUCUCUCACAGCCUAUCAACAUCAGGAACACACAACCAACCUUGGUAACUCAGGAUACCACACCACCAAUCUCAAAGGCCAUAACUUUUUGCUGACCCACAUUACUCUUAAUCUGCAUAAAAAUGGGAUCUAAAGCUUACUUCUCCUUUACCUAAGCACCAAGAAAUGAUUUAACCACUUUUUGCAGAAUUUUCCUCCUUUCUUAGAGUCUAAUAGACGAACUCUCAAAUUAGUCAGCGAGUGAAUCUCCUUCACCAGUCCUCUUUUCUCUUCAUCUACAUGAUAUAAGUUCCCCAUAGACAACCUGCUAAGAGCAUCAACAACCACUAUACCUUUACCUAGAUGAUAGUGAAGACUCAUAUCAUAGUCCUUUAGUAACUCAAGCCACUACCUCUGUCGAAGAUUCAACUUCUUCUGAGUAAAUAUAUACUAUAAUCUCGUAUGAUCUGAAUAAAUGUCUACAUGCACUCUAUACAUAUAAUGAUGCCAAAUCUUCAAAGGAAAAAUCGUAUCCACCAGCUCCAAAUCAUGAGUAAGGUGAUUCUUCUCAUAAACCUUAAGUUUCAUAAAAGCAUAAUCUAUAACCUUCCCACGUUGCAUCAAAACACAACCAAGUCCCAGACGGGAUGCAUCACAAUAAACAACGAACCCAUCAGUACCCGUCAGGCAGGGUUAGAACUGGCGUGGAAGCCAACUUAUCCUUUAAAUUCUAAAAGUUGCCCUCACACACAUCAGACCACAAGAAUUUUACCUUUUUUGUGUCAACUUCAUCAAUGGAGAAACAAUUGAUGAAAAGAUCUCUAAAAACCUCCUAUGAUACCCAGCCAAGCCCAAGAAGCUCUAAAUGUUGGUCGGAGUUGUGGGUCUAGGCCACCUUUUUACCAUCUCAACUUGCUGUGGAUCUACUUUGAUCCCCUCACUAGAAACAACAUGCCUAAGAAAAGUCACAAUAUCCAGCCAAAACUCAUACUUAGAGAAUUUAGCAUACAACUUAUGAUCCAUAAGAGUCUGCAACACAAUUUGGAGGUGAUUGGUAUGAUCCUCCUUACUCUUGGAAUACACCAAAAUAUCAUUAAUGAAUACAAUAACAAAUAAGUCUAAGAGUUGUCUGAACACUCAAUUCAUAAGAUCUAUGAAAGCAGCCAAAGCAUUAUUCAAUCCAAAUGACAUCACCAAAAAAUCAUAGUGACCAUAUCGGGUUCGUAAAGCAGUCUUAGGAAUAUCAAUCUCCUUAAUCUUUAAUUGAUGAUAACCCAAAUAAAGAUCCAUCUUAAAAAAAUAUCUAGCACCCUAAAGCUGGUCAAAGAGAUCAUCAACCCUAGGUAGAGGGUAUUUAUUCUUCAUGGUAACCUUAUGCAACUAUCAUUAAUCUAUACACAUUCGAAGAGACCCAUCUUUCUUACACAUGAAAAGCACGGGAGCACCCCACAGAGAGAUACUAGGACUAAUAAAACCCUUAUUAAAAAGAUCUUUAAAUUACGUCUUUAUCUCCUUUAACUUAGCCAGAGCCAUUCUAUAUGGAGAAAUAGAGAUACGACGGGUAUCCAUUAAAAGAUCAAUCCCAACGUCUAUUUCCUUAUCAGGAGAAAUACUAGGAAGAUCCUCAGGAAACACUUCAGGGAACUCAUUAACCACAUGUAUAAAUUACAAAGAAGGGCCCUCAGAGCUAGAAUCUUUAACCCAGACCAAAUGAUAAAGACUCCCCUUGGAGAUCAACUUACUAGCUCUAAGAUAGGAAAUAAAUCUCUCUUAAGGUAUUAAGGAAUUUCCCUCCCAUUCAACUAUCAUUAAUUAGGGAAUUGGAAGUUGACUUUAUGAGUCAUUCAAUCUAAGGAAGCAUAGCACGAAUAGAGCCAAUCCAUCCCUAAGAUAACAUCAAAAUCCACCAUGUCCAACUCUAUCAAAUCUACUAAGGUCUCCUUAUAAAAGAUGAACACCAUACAAUCCCUAUAUACCCUUCUAACCAUAAUAAAAUCACCCACCAGAGUAGACACAGAGAAAGGAGCAGGAAUUGUCUUGAGACGAAAACCUAAAUGUACAGCUAUAUAAGGGGUCAUAUAAGAAAGGGUAGACCCUGGAUUAAGAAAACAAUAGACAACACGAGAGAAGAGUUGUAAUAUACCAGUAACCAUGUCAGGAGUGCCUCAAAUUCCUGGCAAGUAGCUAAAGAAUAAAGAUGAUUCUGGCCAGUGAUAGUACCCGAAGUAGAACCCUUUGGUGCAAGAGUUGAAGAAGUAGCAAUCGGAACCUUAUUAGCUACGGUGUCAACCUUAGCUGUUGAAAAAUAUCAUUGCAUAUGACCAGGCUGCCCAUAACUAUAGCGCUAAUUCCUCCUCUCAUCAUACUGACCAGGGUGAAGUUAUCCACAAAAUCAAUAGGGAGGAUAUAAUGGGGCUGACUGAGCUACACUAACUUGAUUUAGGCACCCUAUGCCUUAAAUCUACUGUCAGCCUAAAAACGAUGAUCACCAGACAGCUUAGGAUAAGGAGCAAUAGACAACGAAUAUAAACCAAAAUUUCCCCAAGUCUUCUUCUUGCCUCACUGUCUACCAUCCCUUGAACUAGCUUGUUGACCUCUACUUUGCUCUGAAUACCUGAACUUAUAAUUUUGCCUCUCUUCCAUCUUUGAUUUUUUUUUUACCUCCUCUACCUAUUGCAUAUAAACCAUAAACUUUAUAGAUAUCCAUAUCAUUGUUCAAUAUUGUGGCCUUACAUUCCAAUACCAAGUCAUGAGACAAACCAAAAGCAAACUUCCUCAUUUUGGCUCUCAUACUAGACACUAACUCCAAAGCAUAGCAAGACAACUGAUGAAAUUUCAAAGCAUACUCAUUCACACUCAUCCUAUGUUGCUUCAAAUUUACAAACAUCUCUGCCUUAGCUUCCCUAAACUCCUAAGUAAAGAAAUAAUCAAGGAAGGCACUAGAGAUCUCCUCCCAUAAAGCCUACCCAGCAUCAUCACCCCUCGACUUCCCCACUCCUCAUACUACUGAUAUGCCAUAUCCUUUAACUGAUAUGCAGCAAACUCCACACCCUAAGAAUCAAAAGCAUAUACCACCCUAAAGAUUUUCUCCAUCUCAUCAAUAAAUCAUUGAGGAUCCUCCUCAACCUUAGAGAUAGUGAAGGUUGGGGGAUUCAACCUCAUUAAAUGACCAACUCGAUAACCUCCGAAUAAGGAGCAACAGAACCACCCUGACCUAACUAAAAAGUCACCAACUGAGUUAAUAGAUGAAUAGAGUGGUGAAACUAUGCAUUGGAGAUCUCUCUUUGAGGUGACUGAGCAUGAGUGUCACUGGCCAAAGAAAGAAUAGUUGGGAUAGAUGGAACUCUAUUAGGGCAGUACAAUAAGAAGUAGGGAUCCUAGACCAGGUUUGCACCCCAUGAGCAGGUCGAGUUCCAUUGGCAUUGUCCUCAUGUAAGAAAAAGGGUCCAGCAGAAUUUCUACGAGCAUCAAAUCUUUUGGGAGGCAUGAUUUGAAAUGCGAGUAAGGCAGAGAUUAGAGGAAUUUUCAAGACACUAGAAAUAGAACACAAGAAAGGAAAACAUUCCUAAAUACCUUGUAGCCUCUCCCUUAUAAAUGUGGAGUGCUACAAAUCUGUAAAAGAAACUCUACUUGACAUAGAUUUGUGGACACCUUAAUGACCCUAAACCUAGUGCUCCGAUACCACGCUUGUCAUACUCUACCCUAUUCCUAGAUGUAAUGGGUAUCGCAAGCCCACCAUAGGCCGAAGACCACACCUAUAGUCUAUCAAAUCUAAACAUGAUAUAGUUUGAUAGAGGAAAUAAUUCAAUAAAACAUAUGGAAGAUAAUAACCAAGACAAAGGUUCUAAGAUAUCAAACAAAUAUCCCAAUCCACAGCUGUCCACAAAAGCCUUUAAAAGAACCCGCAUAUCAACUAGGUCGGGACAUACCCCCAAUCGUGGAAAAAAAGGAGUUCAAAUAAAAAAACUGAUAGGAUUUUAAUACUCAUAAGGAAAAUAAUAAAAUAUUUGACCUUUCAAAAGAUGGAGUCUCACCACUUCAAUGCACACCAACCGACAAACCAGAACUAUCUAAUACUACACAUGGGUAAAAGAGACAUCCUCGAACCCUACAUUAUGAAACAAUAUAGCAUUCUAGGAUAGUUAAUAGGGUGAGCACUAGCAUAUAAUUCAGGAUAGGGAUAAAAUAAUGCCAUUUCAAAAUCAAGUUUGACUCAUUGUACAUGUUCACAUAUAUUUAUACAUACAUGUAUAAGAUGUUGAGAUAGGGAAUAAAGUUUAUCAUGAGAUUUAAAAUCACUAGCCUAGAUUGUGUAGCUCCGUCUAUCAUAAAAAUACCCAUGGGCUAUAUAGUUCUGGCUCUCCUCAUUGGAAGGGCCCUAUAUAUAUAUAUAUAUAAAGUGUCACACAUGCACACGGUCAUUAAGAACACCCUCAUGCCAGCAAACGUGGUUUCCAUUAUUGGUCUCUCGAGGACCUCCACCUUCACAGUGAGCUACAAAACCCCCUUUAAUCCCAAUUAGAAGCUUCACACAUAGACCCAUCCAUUUAACCAAGGAAUCAUCCAUUAAGGUAUUAUCAAUGGUAUCGUCAUACUAAUUACGCUUACAAGCUAAUAUCAUUAUGCCAUUUCAAUUACCCAUCAACUUGGAGGAAUCUACAACCCCCAAGGUCUAAUUUAAAAUCAAACAUGUUCCAUUAAUCCUUUUAUGCAUUGAAAUGUUUCAAAAAUUAGUUUUAAUAUGCAUAUAUCCAUGCUUUAAAGCCAAUUUCAUAAGGUGGGUUGAGGUUAUUACUAAUUCCAAUAUGAAAAUUAAUUAAUUUGGGAGAAUCCAUGACCAUCGUCCUAAUUCCCAUGCCCAUACAAAAAUUUAGUUCAUAAUCCAUGUGAUAAAGCAUGAAUAACAAUUUCAAAAACCAUGGAAAAACCAACCAAGUAGUAGUCAUUCAAAUCCUUCAACCCAUCAUACAAAACCUAACAAGUAAAUCCACAUAAACUAUAAUUAAAUACAUAUUUUUCAUAAGACAAGUUUUAGGGAAGAUAUACAAGCUUGGAAUACCAAGAAUUUGAAGGAGACACCAUAAUUUGAGCCUUAGAUGACCAAACCCUAAAAAACCUAAGCUUGUUUUUUAUUGGGGAAUUUGUUAGAGAAGUAUUUGUGUUGGCUAAGUGAUGAAGAUAGGGACCCUUAGGUGUUUUAUGUUCGUGGGUCAUAUUUAGAGUAGAAGGGAAAUGUCUAAAGUAUCCCCAUUUAAACUGCAGAAAAAUAACACUACUGGCUAUGAGUCAUCUCAUAACUCGUGAGGACUGGUCACGAGUCAUCACCAUGACUUAUGGUAUGGGAAGAAGGUAUGAGUAAUUAUAAUGGUUUGGUCAUGAUUCCCUCAUUAUAACUUGUGACAUCACUAUACAACUCGUGAAGACAAAUCGUGAACUUAACAGAAACCAUGGACAAACUUACUGGUCAGGCUACGAUUAGUACCCUACGACUCAUGAGGAGUCUUUUUGACUCAUCAACUAAGUCGUAGCUUGAUUAGUGAGAACAAAACCAAGAGAACUUUUUAGAGUUCAGAUCUUGGGAUGUUACAACUAACUUCAGAAAGGGGUGUCCAAAGGUGGAGGGCUAAACUUCAAUACUCCUACAACCACUUUACCUAAACAACAUGCAACUGAAAUAAAUAUUACUACAGAAGUUCUAACUAGCUUGAUUGAUAAAUGUUGAGGUGCUGAAAUGAAUAAUAAAGUUCAAGAUUCUAAUUAUGUCCAGAAAAAUGAUAUGAAUGCUAAUUUUGAUGCAGAAAGGGUUGAUAUUAAUGAUCAAAAUUCUGCAUAAUUUUAUUUUGGUAACUAGGUUCAGUGUAUGGGUUUUGAUACUAGUCAAAGAGCCGAAUAUCAGAUUAUUACUCCUAUACAGGUGCAAGAUUCUUCAGGGAUUAGGAACUUGAAUAUUGAUACUCAAAGGGUUGAUUAUGAUGUUUAUUCUAUAGAAAUUCAGAACUAUUCUAUUCAUAGUCUCAAUAAUUAAUCUACUUUUGCUCUCAGUCAAAAGAGGAGAUGUUAGUAAAAGAAGCAAGAAAAAGGGGAACAACAACACCAAAAGGGUCAACAAAAUUUGGUAUUAGUGCAACAGCAAGUUGGUCUUGAUAUUUGUAAUGCCUCAAAUCCUAUUGGGGUGGACAGGCACCCGUGGCCGUGAAAGACCGAGAGACCUAAUCCAUAACAUUGUAAUUAUCAUGCAUGUAACUAUAAUAACCAAAGGAUUUUCCAUACAUGGAUAUAAUGCACUGAUGAGAAAUAAAUGACAAGCCUAAAACUAUAUAUACCAAAUUGGCCAUUGGGGCCAUAACAUCUAAAAGAUAAGAAGCUAUCAUUCUUAACUUUACAUUGGUAUACAAAGCCACUAAAAGAUACAUAGAAACUUGGUAAAGGUUGGUACAAACCCCCGCCUUACUCCUAACUACUAUACAGUACCAAAAUAUAUAAAACAAACUCAGAAAGCUCCCAAUCAAACUGGAUCUCACCAAUACUCAUUGGAUAUCCCUGCAACUACUGAGGGGGUAUAUGAGCUAAAGUACCUAUUCCUGUAGCAUAAAAUAUAGGUCCCCUGUGAGGGACGUAAGCACAAAAAUAUGUACUGAAUAUGUAAGGCUGAAGGUACUACACAUGAUACAAAAGCUUAUUAAAAAUCAAGUACAGUGCGUAAAUAGUGCUAGUAGACCACCUUUAUAUAUACUUGUGGGACUAGGUACAUUACAUUCUUUUAUUUAUUUUUGCCCUUCUUACUUCAUAAUCUUUAUAAUCCAUAUAAUACAAAAGACUAGCUGAUCAGUGGUAAAUAGACAAAUCGAGAUCAACCCAUGCAAGGCUUAUGCCUUGAGUUGCCACCUAUAUAUGAACAUUGGGAUCAAUCCAUGCUAGGAUUUUUCCCCUGAGCUUCCACCCACAUAUAAGGUAUCGAGAUCGGCCCAUGCUAGGCUUAUACCCCUGAGCUGCCAUCCAUUUUAUAGAUUUUUGUUGCUUAGUUUAUUUAGCCUUUGAGAUUAUUACCUUGGUGUCCAUAACAUUAUGGUACCUUAAAACAAUAAUCUUUCAAUAAGGGACAUAUGAAUAAACACUUAAUGCAAUGUCAAAGAGUUAUGGGGCAGAUUGUACAUGAAUGAAAUGUUUAGGAGCUGAAAAUAACAUACAGGUCUUAUUUGACUUAAAGGAGAACUCUUGAGACUUGCUAGUGAUUGUAAAAAUAUAGACUUGAUAAUAAGCAUGUGGUGAGGUAUUUUAACACAUUAGAGAGUGUGAAGAAAUUGGUUAGCUACAUGGGAGAUCAUAUGUUUCCAUUAUGUAUCAUCUACUAUGGGAGGGCUUUAGAGAGCAGCCUUACAUACCAGAUCAUACAACUCAAAUGUUAACCCAAUUAACAUCCUGACUUUAAGGUUUCUUAUCUACAAUAAAGUAUAUAGUAAAACUAGUAUUAGUAACCAACUAACACACUUGGGCUACUUAGCUUCACAAAAUAGUAGUCAGGCAGUAUGCCCAUAGUUUAUUAAUCAAGGGUGUUAUUUUAAUCAUUUUAUCCUCCAAUUACAUCCACAUAACAUACAUAUUUUUAUAAGAUUCCUCAAAAUAACUUUGGCUUCAUUACACCCUCCAAAAAAUGCAUAAAAUAGAAUGGGUAAUAAACGUAUACAAUAAUUAUGUAAUACCCUGGGAAAUUUUUCACUGAAAUUUUGUGCGUGUGUUGGGUUCUAUCUUCUAGAAUGAAUUAUAAAUUUUUCGUGUGGAAUGUCUUAGAUUAUGACCCACCAUUGCGUAGAUUAUCGAAUAAGAUUUCCAACGAUAUGUGGUUAAUCCAAAACGGACACUCGAGCGACGAGUUAUGAACAUUCCGAUCGAACCGCGAAUAGUAGUGAACAGUAAAACGUGCAGGAAAAAGUUCUGAGGCCUGGCGUAUUUUUGCACCAACUUUAAAUGAUCAUAAAUCCUUGUACAUAAUGAUCUGGGUGAUCUACUAUAUAUCAACAAAAAGCUCUGCGAGUCCUCUUUCCAAUGAAAUUAGUUUCAUCCAAUUUGUCUAUCGGAGCAAAAAGUUAUGGUCGAUCUACUUCAGCCUAUCAAAAGUGAAUUUUUGGGUCAAUUUUAAAUGAUCAUAACUCCUCGUACACAAUGAUCUGGGUGAGAUACUAUAUAUCAACGGAAAGAUAUGAGAGUCUUCUUUCUAAUAAAAUUAGUUUCAUCUAAUUUAGAUAUCAGAGUAAAACGUUAUGGUUGAUCUACUUCAGACUACCAAAACAAUCCACCAAAGGACAGAUUCGAGAAUUAUUUGAUUUUUAGGGGCGUUUUGGUCAUUCCUCCUCAUCCAAAAUCCAUCCAAACCCUAUAUUAAAGCCUAUUAGAAGCAUUAUAUGUUAUAUUUUAUCAAAUUUCCUCAAAAAGAAAACCCUAUACUCCUACAUCCAACUUCAAGAACCUCCAAAGUUCACCAUUAAUUCUGCAAAUUUAUUCAAGAUUCCAAGUUCCUAGUUCAAGAACUCCAAGAACCAUCAUUCAAAGGCACGAUUAACAUCUCAAAAAUGAGUAUCGAUCUAAAGU
rnacentral:lncRNA from 1 species